rnacentral:lncRNA from 1 species
CACCAUGGACAUGGCGAACUGCCUGAAGAAGGCAGACUGGCUGAGCGCGAACCGCGUGGUCAAGAGCCUCGUGUCGGGGUGGUCGAUGAGGGCCUGGUCGGACUUGAACAAUCCCUGCCUGACGAUGAGGUCGAAGUAGUACUUGUUGUCGAACACGUCGGGCGUGCGCACGUCGAGGGUCUGAUUGACGGUGCCCUGGGGCACGUCCUUGGCGCACUUGGCCCGCAGCCUCCUGGCGAAUAGCGGGUCGAUGAGCGGGUUGAGGUCGAUGUUGGGAGCGAAGCGGUCGGAGAAGACGGGGCAGUGGGCGACGCCGAAGGUGUGCGCGCCGGAGAGCGAGACGAGGUCGGCCACGUCGAGGCUCCGGUUGCCGAAGGAGGAGAUGAGAGUCGGCACGUCGAAGGAGGGCGCCGGCAGGGUGUCCACGAGGUCCUGGGACGCCGGGGCGAGCCCGUCGCGGCGGCCGAGGGCGACGUCGAAGUGUGGCCCGCCAGCCUGCAUCCACCACGUACGUACUCGUUGAUUAAUCGGUUCUGCUCAGGUUGAAAAUAUCGUCUGACAUAUGUACGCUUGUGUGGAGCAUAUGGCCGGCAGGCAUGAAGUGGAGUGUACCUGUACGAGGGCGUCACGGGUGGCGAGGACGGUGAUGUCGGCGCAGGAGACGGUCGGGCCGCAGGCGGCAUGGACGGCGGCGCGGAUGCGCUCGAUGAGGUCGAGAGCAACGGGGCGGAGCGUCUGGUUGGGCACCGCAUUCAGCUCGCUGUUGUUCCCGGUGAGGAGCACCGACGCGUCGCAGCCCUGCGGGAAGCAGUCGUGGAAGAGGAUGCGGAUGAGGGCGGGGGCGACGCCGACGUCGCGCCGGAAGGUCUCCGCCACGAGGUCCCCCACGAUCUUCUCCAGGCCCGGGCACGACGCGGCGUGGAAGCCCCGGGACAGCCCGCCGGCGUCCGCGGCCGAGAUGGUCGACUGGGCGGCGCAGAUCAAGGCUGCCAGGACGAGGACGGUCGCUGUUGCUCUGGACGCCAUUGCUGUCGCCCUACAGAGAUGUAGCUGAGCUUUUUUGCACGAUGAUGGUCGUGUGGCUUGCUCAAGCUAUGGACACUAAACCCUUGUUAUUUAUACACGGCCAAGUGGCUAACCACCCCACAGCUGGGUAGGUACGUACGUGGCUUAACUCGAUAUUAAUUAUCUACAAGGUGGAAAACAUGUGCAAGUCGGUGCCUGAAAUUUCCCAGAACUUUCCGUAUGCCUUGCGCCCAACAACCCCUUCACUGCGUAUGUGAGUAAUUUACGAUUAGGAUGUGUGACAUCGAUCCAAGUGGGACAUAUACAUAAGGGGUCUGGAAUCAUUUUGAAUGACGCCGAGCUGGCUACGUACGACCUACAGGGAUAGGAUCAGCCUGAGCUUCUUAACCCUCAAAAGAGUUAAGUCAUCAAAAUAUUCUCUUGAUCGAUGCGUGCGUUCCCACACAACCAUCUCAAAGCAUCUCCUGGUCCAAAUUUAACGAUCCAGCCCGUGGGGGGGGGGGGGGGGGCGGCCCGGCCCGUGAAAGUCCUCGGCCCCCCUCCCAGGUCGCACGUAGCCUAUGGGGAUAGCUCUGCAAGGCAGAAGCGCACGUAGAAGUAGACUAAUGUAGAUGCGCAGCCAACGUAGGACGUGACCGAUGGACAAGAUCGUGCACAUCACUACCACGCGAAGAUAAUGGGCCCGACCCAGCGCCAUGGGCAUCAUUACCGUGGUUCAGGAAGACCCAAGGUAAAAAACUAAAUUAACGCACAAUGCUCAGUCUUGUUUUUUAGGUCGUCACGCCCAAACUCCCAUCCCAAUCACGGCAAGGCCAUUGCGUGUUUGCCGCAUGUGUUUGCCUCCGAUGCGGGGGCGACACUACGACAGAUGAGCAUCCAAAUAGGGUAGUCAUCUAGAUCUGGUAGGUCAAUUUGCUCCUUUUGAUUCAAUCUUGUGGGUUUUAUGAAUUUUGGGGUUUCUUGAUUUCGGGGAAAAAAUUAUAGUUACAAUGAGAGGAUUUUUGUUUGGCAUUUCAAAAUUAGUAGCCAUGCUGCUAUUGUUCGGUUAUGAAAAUUGGGAAUAUGGGACGAUGUCUACUGCAACAGGAUUAUGAUUAAUCAUUGAAUCGUGUCAAGUUAUUUAUUAACUCGAUAAUCAAUGUUAUGGUUUUGUAGUGCAGCUGCAAAAGCAUUAUGUCCAAGGCAUGUUGAUAGUUCCUUCCGUAUUGAAGAUUCCAACUUAGAUCUCCGGUAUCAAAGUUUUGAUAGAAAAUGAUGUUUUUGGAUUUGGAGAUGAUAUCAAAUAAUAUUGGAUUUUCUGUCGGUACAAUGGGUUUCUCAUAUACCGUAGCUAAAGUUUGACUGUUUGACUCACUAUACAUGUGUUUUAUCUCCAGGGCUUAGAAGAUGUUUCUAAUGCUUCAUAAAAAACAAAGAUUCUUAUCAAGAAGCACAUGAACACGGAGGCACUACAUGAGUUGAUGAUGAUCAAGGUAUGAUUGUUUUUGUUCUACUAUAAGAAGCACAUGCAUCUUUCAAAUAGCUACAUAUUGAUAACAAAUAAUGGAGAAUAAUGUGAGAUACGUAAAUGUCCCAGAGAGGUUAAAAGUUUUGCAACUUAGUAUAUCAAGAAUAAAUUGUUGAAUAAGAUUGAUAUCAAUACCAUCAUCCCUGAGAUUGCAUCUCGGAAUGUUAGACCCAAAUUUUGAGAUACAUAUAUAAAAAUUAUGUGAUUUUAAAUGCAUUUUAAGCGUUACACGACAACAUUUUUUACGUUUAUGAAUUUAUGUUAAAGGGUCCCGGGUUCUAGUUUCGCCCCGGAUCCCCGAAAUCUCAGGACCGGCCCUGGGUCCAAAUUCAAAUCACUAAAAGGUGCUUUUUAUAAAAAGGCUCAACUUCAACAGAUGAUCUAAAACGAAGAUGUAAAAAAAGAGCAUCUCCAAUAGAUGGUCCAAAACAAAGAUGCAAAACCGACCGACGGCCGCACGACUGCUAUUCAGCCACUUUACAGCCGCGGUUUUGCGUUCAAAUAUCACUUCAAAUUCGAAAUAAAGUGCAUCAUCAUCAUAGUUCAAAUCAUAACAAAAGUGCAUCACCAUCAUUAUAGUUUACAAUCCCUCUACCAAAAGUGCAACGUCCCAAUCAAAGUUUUUUGGCGUACAAAUUAAAAUACACAUGAAUAUCAUUCAUGCGGAACAUCAACACCAUCGACGUUGUGAACUGUGGUACGAUCGUCAUCAUACACAUUUCAUCGAACAUGUUGGAGGCGGUGGCCGUCGGCGUGGCCAAAUCUUCCUCCACGUCCGGCGGUGGCAGCGGUGGAGGUGGGGGAUGUUGGGGAACGUUGCAUGGGAAACAAAAAAAUUCUACGCACACGCAAUACCUGUCCAUGGUGAUGAUCAUCUACUAGAAGGGAGAGUGAAUCUACAUACCCUUAUAGAUCGCUAAGCGGAAGCGUAUAUAUUGCGGUUGAUGUAGUGGAACAUCUUCGCAAUCCAAAUCACAGCCCGUCCCACGAUCUCAUCACGAUUCGUCCCGCGAUCCCAUCACGAUCCUUCCCGAUCUAGUGUCGAACGGACGACACCUCCGCGUUCAGCACACGUACAGCUAGAUGAGGAUGUCCACCUUCUUGAUCGAGCAAGAGGGGACGGAGAGGUAGAUGAGUUCUCCAGCACGACGGCGUGGUGGUGGUGGUGGUACUAUUCCAGCACGGAUUCGCCUAAGCACCAUUGAAACUAGAGGAGAAAUAGAUCUAGAGAGAGAGGGCAACACGUGGCUGUUUUCUAUUUUUUUUCUAAAUCCCUCAAAACCCUUAGUAUAUAUAUAGUAGGAAAGGAGGGAGAGUGUUGCGCCCUAGGGCUGCCCUUUCUUCCCUUGCGCAAGGAGGAGAGGAGGAGUCCUCCUUCAAUCCUAGUAGGAGUAGGCUUCCUCCUUCCCAGUUGGAAACUCUUUCCACCUUGUGUUUUUUCCUUCUCAAACCUUAUGGGCCUUAGUGGAAACUUAUUCCAGCCCACUAGGGGCUGGUUUAUCUCUUCCCAUAUCCCAUGAGGCCCCUUGGGGUGUGACACCCCUGCCGAUGGUCUCCGGCACCCCUCACGGCACUCCCGGUACACUACCGAUCAGCUCGAAACUUUUCCGGUGAUCAAAACAUGACUUCCUAUAUAUCAAUCUUUACCUUCGGACCAUUUCAGAGCUGCUCGUGACGUCCUCGAUCUCAUCCAGGACUCCGAACAACCUUUGGUCACCAACACAUAUAACUCAACUAUACCGAACCUUAAGUGUGCAGACCCUGCGGGUUCGAGAACUAUGCAGACAUGACCUGAGACACUCUCCGGUCAAGAACCAAUAGCGGGACCUGGAUGUACAUAUUGGCUCCCACAUAUUCUACGAAGAUCUCUAUUGGUUGAACCUCUAUGUCAAGGAUUCAGUUAAUCCCGUAUGUUGUUCCCUUUGUCCUUCGGUAUGUUACUUGUUGGGUUACGUAGCAUAAAUUCAAAAUUUUCCUACGCAUAUUCAGAUCUUCCUAUGGAGAGACCAGCAACGAGAGAGGGGUAAGAGCAUCUUCAUACCUUUGAAGAUCGCUAAGCGGAAGGGUUGCUAGAACGCGGUUGAUGGAGUCGUACUCGCAGCGAUUCCGAUCUAGUGCCGAACUACGACACCUCCGCGUUCAACACACGUGCAACCUGGUGACGUCUCCCACACCUUGAUCCAGCAAGGAGGAGGGAGAGGUUGGGGAAGAACUCCAGCAGCACGCGGCGUGGUGUCGAUGGAGAGACGAGGUCUCCCGGCAGGACUUCGCCAAGCACCGGUAGAGAGGAGGAGAAAGAAGAGCAGGGCUGCGCCGAGGGAGAGGGAAAAGUCUAUCUCUCAAUGGCAAAAAGUGCCCGAUAUAUAUAGGGGGAGGGGAGAGGGGGUGCCACCCCUAGGGUUCCCACCCUAGGGGGUGCGGCAGCCCCCCAGAUGGGAGGUGCGGCGGCCAGAGGGGGGAGGAGGGGGUGGCGCACCAUCUGGUGGGCCUUAGGCCCACCUGGCUUAGGGUUUGCCCCCCCCCCUUUUCUCUCCCCUGCGCAUUGGGCUGAGUGGGGAGGCGCACCAGCCCACCUAGGGGUUGGUUCCCACCCCCACUUGGCCCACCUUACCUCCCGGGGUCGUUUCCCCCCUUCGGUGGUCCCGGUGGUCCCGGUGGUCCCACUAUGUUACCGGUGAUGCCCGAAACACUUCCGGUAUCCGAAACCAUCCGUCCUAUAUAUCAAUCUUUACCUCCGGACCAUUCCGGAGCUCCUCGUGACGUCCGGGAUCUCAUCCGGGACUCCGAACAUCUUUCGGUAACCUCGUAUAACAAUUCCCUAUAACCCUAGCAUCAUCGAACCUUAAGUGUGUAGACCCUAUGGGUUCGGGAGACAGGCAGACAUGACCGAGACACCUCUCUGGCCAAUAACCAUCAACGGGGUCUGGAUACCCAUGGUGGCUCCCACUUGCUCCACGAUGAUCUCAUCGGAUGAACCAUGAUGUCAAGGAUUCAAUCAAUCCCGUAUACGAUUCCCUUUGUUUGUCGGUAUAGAACUUGCCCGAGAUUCGAUCGUCGGUAUACCUAUACCUUGUUCAAUCUCGUUAACGGUAAGUCUCUUUACUCGUUUCGUAGCACGUCAUCGUGUGACUAACUCCUUAGUCACAUUGAGCUCAUGAUGAUGUUCUACCGAGUGGGCCCAGAGAUACCUCUCCGUCACACGGAGUGACAAAUCCCGAUCUCGAUUCGUACCAACCCAACAGACACUUUCGGAGGUACCCGUAGUGCACCUUUAUAGUCACCCAGUUACGUUGUGACGUUUGAUACACCCAAAGCACUCCUACGGUAUCCGGGAGUUGCACAAUCUCACGGUCGAAGGAAAAGAUACUUGACAUUAGGAAAGCUUUAGCAUAGGAACAAUGCGAUCUAGUGCUAUGCUUAGGAUUGGGUCUUGUCCAUCACAUCAUUCUCCUAAUGAUGUGAUCCCGUUAUCAAUGACAUCUAAUGCCCAUGAUCAGGAAACCAUGAUCAUCUAUUGACUAACGAGCUAGCCAACUAGAGGCUUGCUAGGGACACAUUGUGAUCUAUUUAUUCACACAUGUAUUACUGUUUCUUGUUAAUACAAUUAUAGCAUGAACAAUAGACGAUUAUCAUGAACAAGGAAAUAUGAUAAUAACCAUUUUAUUAUUGCCUCUAGGGCAUAUUUCCAACAUUACUUGCCCGAGAUUCGAUCGUCGGUAUCUUCAUACCUAGUUCAAUCUCGUCAUCGGCAAGUCUCUUUACUCAUUCCGCAAUAAAAGAUCCCGUAACUAACUCCUUAGUCACAUUGCUUGCAAGGCUUGUUGUGAUGUUGUAUUACUGAGUGGGCCCCGAGAUAUCUCUCCGUCACACGGAGUGACAAGUCCCAGUUUUGAUCCAUGCCAACCUAACAGACACCUGGAGAUACCUGUAGAGCACCUUUAUAGUCACCCAGUUACGUUGCGACGUUUGAUAGCCCACAAGGUAUUCCUCUGGUGUCCGGGAGUUGCAUGAUCUCAUGGUCAUAGGAACCGAUACAUUGACAUGGGGAAAACAGUAACAAUAAACUGACACGAUCAUUUGCUACGUUCAUAAUUUUGGGUCUUGUCCAUCACAUCAUUCUCCCAAUGAUGUGAUCCCGUUAUCAAGUGACAACACUUGUCUAUGGUCAGGAAACCUUGACCAUCUUUGAUCAAUGAGCUAGUCAACUAGAGGCUCACUAGGGACAGUGUGUUGUCUAUGUAUCCACACAUGUAUUUGAGUUUCCAAUCAAUACAAUUCCAGCAUGGAUAAUAAACGAUUAUCAUGAAUAAAGAAAUAUAAUAAUAACCAAUUUAUUAUUGCCUCUAGGUCAUAUUUCCAACAGAGGAAAGGCUCCUUGGCUGGUAGAGGACGUGGCCGGCCCUAGCUGCGAGUCAUCGGCCCGAGCCCGCCGGCUGCCUUUGAGUUUUUGCCCAGCCGUGAUUAGCCAACCGUUUUCAUGCCUUCGGCGCCUUCGCAGGAACCGUCGGUGCAGGGGCAACCGGCCGGGGCGGCGGACGGGUACGGUGACAUGGACGAGGCGGCAGAGGGCGAGUUCGCCGCAACCGUGGCGGCCGACGGGCGGGUCGUGGGCUGGCGGUCGCGAUGCGGGAGGUGAAUGAACUAGCGGUUAGGCGUUGGCGUGGGGACGCGGUUUUUACAUCACUUGUAUCUUGUGAUGUAAAUUUGCAUCAUGCAGUUUUCAUUUUUACAUCACCGGGAGGCCGCAAUUGAUUUUUUUACAUAUGGACCGUUUGUUGGAGCAUUGUUUUUUUCCCAAGACGAUCCAAAAUUUAGGUAUUUUUACAUUUGUAUCAUCUAUUGGAGAUGCUCUUACAAAGGGUUAACUCAACAAAAUAUUCUCUUUUGAGGGGUUAACCGCACCUAGCUGGACGCCUGGACUCCUAUCCGGCUAACUCCUUAAGUAUUUGAGGAGUUAAGCGUGAAAAACUUCUCAAGGCUCUCAUUUUUGAGUGGGCGAGACAAGUUAUCGGCAAAACACCCCCGCUUCCCAACUCCUUCUCGCGACGCAUCCGCUAAUCAGUGUCACAGUCAGAGCCAUCGGAUACCCCCAUUUCGACGGGAAUGACAUGGGAGGGCGCUUCCAUGUCAAGGAAGCACUCGGGACAAAUAGCGUGGUGAGAACCAUCGCACCGUCGAAAAAGGCAAGCCGUAAGGGUAUGCUUUCACGAAGACGAGAGGUUCCCCUCCAUUUGCUCCGGCUGGUGGCAAGCGAGUGAGGAAGCCACCAGUGGCCGACAAGACGCUUAACAAAGUGCCGGCAAAGAAAAGGAAGAAGAUGUGCACGUCGACGCCUUCUCUGUCAUAGCCCUUCUCCAGCAUCCCCUAUCACCUCCUCCUUUAGCGCGUUUGCCCGCGGCGGAGGUCUGCCAACUACUCGACAAAAUGUCAAAAUGCAUGUGGGGUAAUUUGUUUUUCUGCUGUGGAUAUUGGUAGUAAUGUUUUGCAGCGGAUAUCUUGGGACGUGCUUGUGGUUGUUUAUUUUAGUGUGGAGGAGCAGUUGCAAAUUUCAUGUCUCAAUUGGAUUCAUCACACAUAAUCAGCCUUGACGAUCUAGAUUACGAUGGUCCAAGGUAUGCUCAAGAAACAAGAGAGGGAGGAGGAUGAUCAAAAAGUGAAAGAGGUCAAUGAUCCCGUGGAGCCACAAUAAAGCAUUAUGAAGACGAUAUAGAGGGCAGUAGGGCGUUCAGUGGCACCAUACUAGUUGAGUCUCAUCCAAUUUCGUAUUCUAACCCUUCUUUUGACAUGAUUAACAUUUAUGAACAAUACGCGUGUGAGAUUCUUUCCUCUAAAUGGACAUACAAAGAACGUUGCAAUAAUAAUUUGCACUAAAAGAUACUAUAAAAUCAGGAACUGAAGAUGACAGAUUCCAACAAAAGUGUACCCCUUCUUGAAUAUAUAUAGUAACACUAUUCAUCAUCGAGGGUGUAGAAUGAGUUAUUCUUCAUCCGAAGUAAUCUUACGGUUGUUUCAUAAAUAAUUUUUUUUUUACAAAUAGUUAUAUGCAUAUUGUUUCAUUAUAUAAAAUUUGGCAUAAGAAAACAAUUAUAUAUGUCAGAAGACCAGAAAAAAUGCAUUUUAUGUGUAUUUUACACUAUAUUUUUACGUUUGUAACUUUAAAUAGCGUAAAAUAUUUUUAUGACGAUUUAAUAUUUUCUUUAGUUCCUUUUUUGGUAAAAAGUAAGAAAAAAAAGUACGAACAGUAAAAAUACGGUGCAUUGAUGGUAAAAUAGAGGGGACGAAGAAUAACUAUUCCUCACCUAGGAUGACGAAUAGCGCGACUAUUCGUCACAUCAAUGCACCAUAAUUUUAUGUUCUGUUUUUUCUUCAUACGUAAAAAGAGACCGUAACAAGAUAUAUAGUCAUUAUAAAAAAUAUUUUAUGUCACCUAAAAUUACAAACAUAAAAACAUAGUGUAAAAUAUACAUGAAAUGUGAUUUUUUGAUCUUAUGACCUCUAUUUUUAAUUUUUUACAUCAAAUUUUACGUAAUGGAUCAACAUUAAUGAAACUAUUGGUAUUACAAAUGUAAUAUAUGUAUGAAACGGUCGUAAGAUUACCUGGGUGAGGAAUAACUUAUUUUGCACCCUCGGUGAAUCAUUAUUCAGGAUGCAGAAUAGUUUAUUCUUCAUCCGAGAUAUUUGUACGAUCAAUUUACUAAUAAAUUAAGUUUCAAAUACAAAUAAUUAAAUUUAUAUUGAAUCACUAUGUAAAAUUUGACAAAAUCAAAACAAAAGUAUAGGUCACAAGACUAGAAAAAUUUGAAUUUAUUGUAUUUUUUGCACUAUUUUUGUAUGUUCGUAAUUUUACGUGACAUAAAAUAUUUUUACGUUGAUUAUAUUUUUUUUACUGUCUCUUUUUAUGUAUAAAAUAAGACAAAAUUUACGGAACGUAAAAUUACGGUGCAUUGAUGUUAAAAUUAUGGUGAAUUGAUGUUAAAAUUAUAUAUAUACUAGAUUCAUGCAUGUCAGUAAAAUUUAGCGGCACCGUUCUCGUCGUCACCUAUAUUGUUAAGUGGACUAGUUGGACCAUCGCAAUGACGUGUUGGGUCACCCUUGACACGUGUCAGUGGCAUCUCGAACAUGUUGAGAUAUUCGCCUGCUGUCAGUCGGUGGCCACCACCACUCGAGAACAUUUGUGGCGGGUGUCGAGGGCUUAAGUGAUGUGGUCGUGUGGCAAUAGUUUUUUUUAUAGUGAAGUGAGGCGAUCACACACAGGAAAGAGUGGGGUGCAUGUGGGGGAGAAGACGAUAUGGCAACUAUUGAGUUUAGUCCAUAUUGAUUGUGGGAGCAGGCAUAACAGAAUUUAUAAGGGUGUGGGUGUCCCCUCCUAUCACGCAAGCUUUCUUUUUAAACGAAGGGUCCAAGCCCUGAAUUAAGUCUGUGUUCCUCUCUGGUUGGGCCUGGUUACCGCGCUGAGACGCUCGUGGAGGAUGUGGGUCAUGGUAGUUUGGUGGUUCAGAGGAAGAGGAUGAACAAUAAUGAUUUUUGAGGUUGAAGAAGAUGAUCUGGCCAUCCGUAUUGAAUCCAACGGCUCACAACGAUUCGACUGGCCCAAAUUCGAUUUUCGGUCACGUGACAUCUAUCGAUUCCCAUCAUUUUGCACUAAGUGAUGGACUAUGAUUUGCUCAACCAGUCCACUAAACCCAUGCAAUUUAUACACGGCUAGUUACUUUCAAGCCGGCUUAGGUAGCUAGACAUAUUUUUUCUUGUAAUAAAGGAAUACAUUAAUGUCACUACAAGAAAUAUGCCAACUUGUGACAUUCUCUUGGAGACCGUGAAUGAAUUGGUCGUAAGUCUACGACCAUUUUGAUCGAAUUGGUCAUAAGCUAUUUUAGAGGGUUCAAACCCUCAACCAUAACGACCAUUUUUAGGGGAAAGGUCGCAAUUGCCUGGCAUGAAAUGGUCGUAAAGCAGACAACUAGGAUUGACAACCUUAUUUUUAGCAGAAGACGACCAAUCUAGAUGGCCAUAACCAUGUAAAUUGCGGUGUGUUGCUAUGACCGGGCGCCACCUCAUCAAUUUCGCUUGUGUGUCAUGUAUAUGUGUCAUGUUUAUGUGUUAAUUUACGCUUACUUGUCUAGAUCAAAUAUACCAAUGAUGGGUGGAACCCAUGCAUUGACUGGUUAACCUACACCUCAGACCCACCACCACCUUACACGCUGGACCCAGUACAUCUCGGACCCAACACCAACAUACACGUCGGACCCACCCUAUCAUGGGUCCCACCAACCUGACAUGAAAGACCCACCAUUGAACUGACUUGUUGCCCCACCACGGAUGUGACAUGGAGGCUAAACCGGAGAUAGUAGAAAAAUAGGAAAGAAAUAUGCGUUGAUGGGAUUCGAACCCGUGACGCCCUAAGAGCAAGUUCAGGAGUUCCCCCAUACCUUCCCUGGUCAUUUUUUUAAGGGAGAAAGGCAAAAAAACUGCCUCCAACAGUGCCCCGAUCUACUCCGGAUAUUUUGGCCUCCCCGAAAACGUUUCCUCUCUCCCCUCUAUCUAGGGGAACGAGGACCUCCCCGAUCCCCUCCCCGACAUGCCGAGCGAAGCAACUGCCGGCUCCGAAAAGCUCCCUCCCGCCACCACCCCGCCGCCACCACCGCAUUGCAGGUUCGUUCCCUCCUUUGUUUUCUCUCAGAUCUCGGCAAAAAAUAAUAAUCUAGGCUAGGGAGUAAUGGUGAUGUUGGAGAGUGAUGCAGGGGUGCGCAGUCGCCGUGUGAGGAUGGGGAGGCGCUGGAAGGGAGGAGCUGGGCGUUGUUGCUAGAGAUUUGGGCGCUGCUGCUUGCUAGAGUUUUUGCUACCGCUUUGCUAGAGAGAACAGAGAGAGAGAGAGCAGAGAUAUGAGAGAUUGGGAGAUGCACUGUUUGCUGAACAUUAAUUCAGAUAUACAAUGCUUCUUUUUAUAUAUAGAUCAGAGAGAUAACUUGUUGAUUGCUAUAGAUCAGUGAGCUAUUGUACUGCUGAUUGCUGCACAUUUAGAUAUAGAUCACAGAGAUUGCUUGCUACUGAUUUCGGUUGCUAUUGCUAGUAAUUUGCUAGUGAUUGCUGCUGCUAUUUGCUUUCAUUUGUAUUUGCUACUGAUUGCUCCAAGUUAUUUGCUACUCGGAGAUAAAUUUACAUAUCAAUUUGCGAUUGCUUGCUGCAAGUUAUUUCCUACUAGGAGAUGACAUUUAAAUAGCUAUUUGUGACUGCUUGCUGCUAGUUAUUUUCUACUGGUUGUUGAACAUCUAUAUGAUGUAUGGUUUGUUUGUUUUGUUUCAUAUUUUCAUAAUGGACGGUCAGAGUUAUUUGAUCUUUUGCAAAGUGAUGUCGGCUUGAAUGAUUUGCACUGGACUGAAGAAGAACAAAUCGACCUCGAAAAGAAUGAAGAAAAACAAAUUGAUCUUGAAGGGCCUAAAUAAACUAGUCGUUGGUAGUUAUGAAAUAUUCUUAAAAUAUAGAAUAAGGGAGAUGUUUAGGGGAACUAGUGGAGUUGAGCAAUCUUUAGGGGAGAAUCUUUGUAAGUUAGUCCCCUGUUUUGAGAUAUAGGGGAGAAAUUUUUGGGAAACUGUUGGACUUCCCCUAAGAAAACACGGUGGUUUCUUACCACCACGCCACCACCCAAGUAACGAUACGAAACUCCACUCGCUACUUUUAUACGAAACAGUCGCUUCCUGGGCUUGGGCCUAAAUCAUGAGAGAUCUCCCCUUCGCUCCUUCUUUUUCCCCUUUAGCAUUAUGGUCCAUCGAGUGGCACUAUAACAAAUGUGAUAAUCUAUGAUGCACAUUCUGUGACGAUUCAAUGUAAAAACGUGAGGGAAUCAUCUAAAUUUCAAAAAAUAUGACGUUUUUUCACAGAAUCGUCACAAAAUGAGCGUCUUAGAUUAUCGCAUUUGUUGUAGUGUGGGCCAACGGCCCAUGGCCUAUUAGAAGAUCUUUUCUCGUGGGAAAUGUGUGUUUUUUUGUUUUUUUUCUUCUUUACAAUAUUUCGUGAUUUCAGAAAAUCUCCACACAUUUAAAAAAUUUAUUUUGGAAAAAUGCUCGUGAAAUCAUGAAAUGUUCGUCCAUUAAAUAUGUUCAUGAUUUUUGAAAAAUUUGCGUAUUGAAAUAAUGUUCACGGAUUUGACAAACAAAUGGGAAUUCAAAAAAUCAUCACAAUUUUUUCAUAAAAUGUUCAUUGACGUGAAGGUUUAGAUUUUUUUUAUUUUCUUAUUUUAUACCGAUUUUAAAACCAGGUCACAUAUAAUGAUAGAAUACAAAGGCUUUCCAUAUUUUUUGACACAAUGCAAAUGUUCCUUUUUUACAUGGAACCAUUUGGAAAUUUGUACAUGAAAUGUGGUCUAAUAAUUUCGAAAAUGUUCCGGUAUAGUUUUACAACAAAUAUUUGGUAGUUUCUUCACAAAAAGAACUCAUUUUGUGCACUUAAAAAAUCAAAAUUCCCUUUGGCAACAUUGUUUGCCAUUGCAAGAUGCACCCUUGAAACACAUAAAACUUCACACAACAUAGUUCAUUUCUGAGAAGACUUUUAAAAGGUAUUUAUCGUAGUCCAAAUUUUUUAUUUCUCCUCAAAACAAGAUCACAUAUGAUGACACAAUGCGAAGGUUUCCAAUUAUUUUAACUCUUUUUUCUAAUUUCUUAUGUCCGUUUUAAAAUGCGGUCAAAACGACGGGCAUGAUCGUUCGUAGCUAGGGGUUGAAUCUUGGAAAAACUUUUGGUGUCUUUGAUAAAACCUAUAGUUAUGUACCUAUAGUUCAAAGUUGACCCACUUCUUGCAGAAUCGACCGAAAUUUGUAGUUCAAACUUGACCCGCUUCUUGCUGAAUCUAUCGAAAUUUGUCUUUUUCAUGAGAAGUGACUAAAAAAACUCACUUUAGUCACUCGAAUAAUGCAAAAUGAAUUUACCGUCCAAAGAAAAUGAAAACUUUCUUAGGCAACAUUGUUUGCCAUUCCAAAAUGCACGAUAUUAGAUCAUUUGAAUAAACUAUACAUGAAUGUGGCCAUAAGAUUGAUCAUUUGACUUCAAAGCCAUGAAUCUUCAUACAUGAUAACUCAUUUUUUAGAACACAUUUAAAAAAUAUUUACCUUAUUAUAAUUUUAUUAUUUUUCCUAAUAACUUGGUCACGUAUAAUUAGACAAUGCGAAGGUUUUUCAAUUUUUUGAUUUGUUUUUGAAUUUUUCAAGCCCAUUUCAAAAUGUAGUCAAAACGUCGGGCACGAUCGUUCCUAUCUAGUGGUUGAAUCUUGAAAAACUUCUAAUGUUUCUAUGGUUAAAUAGAUACUUGUUUACCUAGAAAUGAUUUUUGGAAAAAAUAAAGAACAAACUAUGACUCAGCCGCCGUUCAAACUUGACCCGCUUUUUACUAAAUUGGCCGAAAUUUAUCCUUUUCACAAGAUGUGGCUUAAAACUUUUGACACUCAACCAUUUGGUCAAUUGUACAUUAAAAAUGUCCUAAUAUUUUAAAAAAUUGAUUUGGUCCAAAAUUGCCACAAUUAUAUGCUAGACCCUUCAUAAAAAACUCAUUUUAGUCACUUGAAAAAUGGAAAAUAAACUGUUCGUUCAAAAAAAAUAGAAAACUUCGUUACACAACAUUGUUUGCCAUUACAAAAUGCACCAUUUUGCACAAUAUUAGAUCAUUUGAACAAGUUAUGCCAUGAAUGUGGCCGUAAGAUUGAUCAUUUGGUUUGAAAGCCUUGAAUCUUCACAAAUGGUAACUCAUUUCCGAGAAUACUUUUUUUAAAAUAAUUUUCGUAUUAUAAUUUUAUUGUUUUUCCUCGUAACUUGGUCACAUUUAAUGACACAAUGGGAAGGUUUUCCAAUUUUUUUAUUUUUUUUAAAUUUUCAUGCCCGUUUCAAAAUGCAGUCAAAACAACGGGCAUGACCGUUCCUAUCUAGUGGUUGAAUCUUGGAAAAGUUUUGAUGUUUCUCUCAUUAAAUAUAUACUUAUGUAUCUAGAAAUGAUUUUUGAAAAAAAUAAAGAGCAAACUACGAGGCAACUGCAGUUCGAAUUUGUCGCGCUUCCAACUAAAUCAGCGGAAAUUUGUCUUUUUCACGAGAGUUGAUCAAAAGUUUUGACACUCAACCAUUUGGUCAAUUGUACAUUAAAUAUGGCCUAAGAUUUUAUUAAAUUGAUUUAGUCCAAAUUUGCAACAAAUAUUUGUUAGGUUCUCCAGAAAAGAACUUCAUUUUGGGCACUUGAAAAAUGGACGAGAGGUGGACGAAAAACUUUUAAGAAGGAAGUAUUUGGUCAAUUUGUACAUAAAACACGGUCGAAUAUUUUUUAAAAUUGUUGCGGUCCAAUUUUUUAACUAAUAUUUGAUAGGUUAUUCACAUAGGUGAAAACAAAAAAGAGAAAGACAAAGAAAGAAAACACAUUUACAUAAGCUUAAUUCUCGUUGGUGGAGAUGUUUGUGCCAUGGAUUGAUGACAUGGCACACAUCCAUCCAUAUAUCCAUCCACCCGCAGCCCAAACCCUAACUCCAAUACUCCCAUCGGUCCCCUCCCCCUCUCCCCCGAUUCAGAUCCAGUCCUCGCUGCCGCCACCUACCUCAAGCCGAUCCUGUCGUCCAUGCCCGCGCGCCAUCACCCGCUCCGCGACCACCACCCGCUCCUCCUUGCCUCCCGGAGGACGCAGACCCCACGUCGCUCUUCCUCCGCCCGCCAACCCACCCCGUCCUGGAGGCCUCACUAGCUUCCUUCCGUCGCAGGGUCACCGCGCUCAUCGCGCCCUCGGUACGCACCUCCACCGCCAUCUUUGCUGGCUCCUCGCCUCCGCCUCCGCCCCCGCUAAUUCCCCGCCCAGCGGCUACCCGGUGGCGCUCCACCUCCUUCGUGCGCCACUCGAUGAGCUCGAGGCCCUGUGGCUAUGCCAUGUUUGGGACAGGUGCCCGUUCCAGUACGUGGUCGGGAACGAGCACUGGAAGGACCUGGUGGUCGCCAUUCGGGACAGUGUACUCAUCGCACGGCCGAAGGCGGAGGCCGUCGUGGACAUGGUCACCACCAUCGAUUGCGAGCUGGAGUCCUGGGCCUUCCCCUCAUCAUCCUCGGCGGCGACAUGUGGAUGAGCCACCGGACGAUAAGCAGCAGAUCAUGUUUGCGCUGACCUCCAUCAAGGGUGUGGGCCGCCACUUCUCCAACAUCAUCUGCAAGAAUGCCGAGAUCGACAUGAACAAGAGGUGAGGAACCGUCCCCCUUUCUCGCCAGAUCUCGUCGUGGUGGGUGGGGGAUGAGUCGUGCACUGUCUUCUGUGUGGUGUGCGGGGCUGAAAAGCUUUCCGCUAAGGAGAUGGUUGUAUGAUGGCGGUGGUGCACAAUUCACGUCAGUUCAAGGUGUUGGACUGGUUCCUGAACAGGAAGAAGGACUAAAAGAAUGGGAGUUUCUCCCAGUUCAUCUCCAAAGCCACCGAAUUGAAGCUCAGGGAUGACCUUGAGAGGCUCAAGAAGAUAACGUAUAAACUCGUCCCCCCUUGUUUGUUUUUGCUUCAUACUGUUGGCUGAUUGAUCGGUGAUUAGGUGCUAGGUUCAACUUGUUAUGAUCCUGUUAACUAACAUCUUGCACAUGCUUUAGUGGUAGAAGUAGUUGAUAUCUCAUCCAAUACUUUACAACCUAGUCUUGGGAUUCACAUAGUGGGUUUCUGGAAGGAGAUCUCCAAACAUUAGAAUGCCUGAAAUGCGUUUAUUCUGUUGUUCUUGAUGGGCGUAGUGUUGUUCUGGUAGGAUGUACUAACUUCAUGUGCUUUAUUCUAUACUCGUUUAUACACACAACAAUGUGGCUAGAGUUUGAUUUUCAGUCGGUAUAGUCUGCUUAUGUGAUACGUCUCCAACGUAUGCAUAAUUUUUGAUGGUUCCAUGCUAUUAUCUUGUCAUCUUUGGAUGUUUUGUAUGCAUGAAUAUGCUAUUUUAUAUCUUUUUUGGGACUAACCUAUUAACUUAGUGCCAAGUGCCAGUUCUUGUGUUUUCUGUGUUUUGACCUUUUUGAGAGGAGAAUAUUGAACGGAGUCCAAAUGGAAUAAAACCUGCGGAAUGAUUUUUUCCAUAAUAGAAGACAUGCAGGAGACUUGAGAACAAAGGAAUGGGAGCUCGGAGGAUGUCACAAGCCACCCAGGCCCGACCUAGGGGGGGCCUAGCAGGCUUGUGGGCCCCCUGUGGCUCCCCUGCCCUAGUUCUUCCGCCUAUAGAUUCCUUAAAAAUCUGAAACCACGGAAGAGAGCCACGAAAAUACUUUUCCGCCGCCGCAAUCUUCUGUCUUCGCAAGAUCCCAUCCGGGGCACGUUCUGGUGCCCUGUAGGAGGGGGGAUUCGAACACGGAGGGCUUCUUCAUCAACACCAUUGCCUCUCCGAUGAUGCGUGAGUAGUUCACCACAGACCUUUGGGUCCAUAGCUAGUAGCUAGAUGGCUUCUUCUCUCUCUUGGAUCUUCAAUACAAAGUUCUCCAUGAUCUUCAUGGAGAUCUAUCCGAUGUAAUCUUAUUUUGCGGUGUGUUUGUCGAGAUCCGAUGAAUUGUGGAUUUAUGAUCAGAUUAUCUAUGAAUGUUAUUUGAGUCUCCUCUGAUCUCUUAUAUGCAUGAUUUUGUAUCCUUGUAAUUCUCUUCGAGUUGUGGGUUUAGUUUGGCCAACUUGAUCUAUAGUUCCUGCAAUGGGAGAACUGCUUGGUUUUGGGUUCAUACCGUGCGGUGAUCUCACCCAGUGACAGAAGGGGUAGCGAGGCACAUAUCGUGUUGUUGCCAUCAAGGGUAAAAUAUGGGGUUUAUAUCUAUUGCAUGAAUUUAUCCCUCUACAUCAUGUCAUCUUGCUUAAGGCGUUACUCCGUUUGUCAUGAACUUAAUACACUAGAUGCAUGCUGGAUAGUGGUUGAUGUGUGGAGUAAUAAUAGUAGAUGCAGAAAGUAUCGGUCUACUUGUCUCGGACAUGAUGCCUAUAUGUAUGAUCAUUGCCUUAGAUAUCAUCAUGACUUUGCGCGGUUCUAUCAAUUGCUCGAUAGUAAUUCGUUCACCCACCGUAAUACUUGCUAUCAUGAGAGAAGCCUCUAGUGAACACUAUGGCCCCCGGGUCUACUUCACAUCAUAUUUUCAGCUUUACACUUUUAGUUUGUUGCACUUUCCACCUUCAGAUCUCACCUUCUAGUUAACCGUGAAGGGAUUGACAACCCCUUUGUAGCGUUGGGUGCAAGUUUGCUUGUUUUUGCGCAGGUACUUUGGAGACUUGCCUUGAUAGUCCUACUGGAUUGAUACCUUGGUUCUCAAACUGAGGGAAAUACUUACUGCUACUGCGCUGCAUAACCCUUUACUCUUCAAGGGAAAAACCAACGCAAGAUCAAGAGGUAGCAUUAUGUUACUCUUUGGUUGGAGGCAAUUAGAAUGUUGUAGGUUUAGUAUGAACGUGUCUUAAUCCAUUGGAUGCCCUUGGCUAGUUUAGUUGGUAUCUAAUCUAAAAUAAUUUAUUUUCCCAUUUUUUGUUUCCUUGCUAGACAUGUCAUGGUACAAGUGCCGGUGCCGAUGUUUACUACCCCCGCCGUAAAGAAAUAUAAGAGCGUUUAGAUCACUACUUUAGUGAUCUAAAUUCUCUUAUAUUUCUUUACACAGGGAGUACAUGGUAUUAUUGUUAGCUAUAUAUAUACCUCAUACGUCUCCAUCGUAUCUUCUUUUCCAAACUCUUUUGCCCUUGUUUUGGACUCUAAUUAGCAUGAUUUGAGUGGAUCUAACCCGGACUAACGAUGUUUUCACCACAACUGCCAUGGUGUUGUUUUUGUGUAAAAAUAAAAGUUCUCGCAAUGACCGGGAAACUUAUGAGGAUUUUUUGUGGAAUAUAUAAAAAAUAUUGGCGGAAGAAUUACCUGAAGACAUGGAGCCAGGGGCCCACAAGCCCAGGAGGUGCACCCCCCUAGGGCGGGCCUGGCAGGCUUGUGGGGCCCACGUAGCUCCGCAGCCUCCAACUCCAACUCUAUAAAGUCUCUCUUGCCUAGGAAAAAUUAAGAGAGAAGAGUUCAUCGCGUUUCACGACACGGGGCCGCCGCCACCACCUGUUCUUCCUCGGGAGGGCAGAUCUGGAGUCCGAUCUGGGCUCCGGAGAGGGGAAAUCGACGUCGUCGUCAUCGCCAACCAUCCUUCAUCGCCAAUUCCAUGACGCUCUUCACCGUUCGUGAGUAAUCUCAUCAUAGGCUUGCUGGAUGGUGAUGGGUUGGAUGAGAUCUAUCAUGUAAUCGAGUUAGUUUUGAUGGGGUUUGAUCCCUAGUAUCCACUAUGUUCUAAGAUUGAUGUUGCUACUACUUUGCUAUGCUUAAUGCUUGUCACUAGGGCCCGAGUGCCAUGAUUUCAGAUCUGAACCUAUUAUGUUUUCAUCAAUAUAUGUGUGUUCUUGAUCCUAUAUUGCAAGUUGUAGUCACCUACUAUGUGUUAUGACCCGACAACCCCGGAGCGACAAUAGCCGGAACCACUUCCGGAGAUGGCCAUAGUAUGAGGAGUUCAUGUAUUCACUAUGUGCUAAUGCUUUGUUCCGGUUCUCUAUUAAAAGGAGACCUUAAUAUCCCUUAGUUUCCGUUAGUACACCGCUGCCACGGGAGGGAUGGACAAAAGAUGUCAUGCAAGUUCUUUUCCAUAAGCACGUAUGACUAAAUACAGAAUACAUGCCUACAUUACAUUGAUGAACUGGAGCUAGUUACAUAUCACCCUAUGUUAUAACUAUUACAUGAUGAAUGUCAUCCGACAUAAUUAUCCAUCACCGAUCCAAUACCUACGAGCUUUUCCUAUACCGGUCCAUGCUAAAUUACUUUACCGCUACUGCUGUCACUACGGCUGCUGUUACUGCUGCUACCGUUACUAUCACACUACUUUUCUACUAAAACUUUGCUGCAGAUACUAAGUCUUGCAGGUCUGGUUGAAUUGACAACUCAACUGCUAAUACUCAAGAAUAUUCUUUGGCUUCCCUUGUGUCUAAUCAAUAAAUUUGGGUUGAAUACUGUACCCUCGAAAAUUGUUGCGAUCCCCUAUACUUGUGGGUUAUCAAGACCUUUUUGUGGCACCGUCGCCGGGGAGCAUAGCUCUAUUCUCUGAGUCACUUGGGAUUUACGUCUGUUGAUCACUAUGAGGAAUCCGAGAGAUCCAAAAACUAAAGUCUUGCCCUCAACUACGAGGACAGGUAAGGAACUGCCAUCUAGCUCUGCACUUGAUUCACCUUCAGUUAUGAGUAAAUUUGCGACACCACCAACUAUUGGUAAUUCUGAUAUGUCGCAUGUGCUUGAUGAUGCUGCUUCUGCUAUCCAUGAUUCUUAUGAUGAUGCUUUGCUUGAUAAUGAGAUGACACUAGGUGCAUUUCUUGAUGCACAAAUUGCUAGAGUUACUGAUGAAUGUGAUGAUACUUCUGAAACUGAUGAAAUUAUUGAAGUGGAACCUGCUGUUACACCUGUUAGACCUAGCUCUCCCAGAUAUGAAUUGCCUGAUAUACCUAAGGGUUAUGUUAUGGAGGGAGAGGUAGCUGAAGGCUUUCUUGCUUGUAAGGAUAGCUAUGAUCUUGAGAAUUUAUUACGUAAGUGGAAAGAAAAAUCUCUGAAUGCUUGAAUGAAAUAUGAUCCUAAGUUUGCUACUUCGCCCAUCUUUGUUACUGAUAAGGAUUAUGAAUUCUCUGUUAAUCACUUUGGUUGAAUCUGAUCCUUUUCAUGGUUAUGAGUCUGAAACGGUUGUAGCACAUCUUAGCAAACUGAAUGAUAUAGCCACCCUAUUCACGAAUGAGGAAAAAAAGUUCUCCAUUACUAUAUCCUUAAGUUGUUUCCUUUCUCACUAAAGGGUGAUGCUAAAACUUGGUUUACUUCUCUUUCUCCUGGUUGUGUGCGUAGUCCCCAGGAUAUGAUAUACUACUUCUCUGAGAAAUAUUUUCCUGCCCAUAAGAAACAAGCUGCCUUAAAGGAUAUAUAUAACUUUGUGCAAGUUGAAGAAGAGAGUCUCCCACAAGCUUGGGGGGGGGGGCUUGUCCAGUUACUGAAUGCUUUGCCUGAUCACCCUCUUGAGAAAAAUGAAAUACUUGAUAUCUUUUAUAAUGGACUAACCGAUGCUUCUAGGGAUCACCUAGAUAGUUGUGUUGGUUGUGUUUUCAGGGAAAGAACUAUGGAACAAGCUGAAAUUCUAUUGAAUAAUAGCUUGAGCAAUGAUAAUGCUUGGACUAUUCCCGAACCACCUCCGAAGCCAAGAGGUAUUCUAUUCCUCAGUCCUGAAGAUAUGCAAGAAGCCAAGAAAUCUAUGCAAGAGAAAGGUAUUAAAUCUGAAGAUGUUAAGAAACUACCACCUAUUGAAGAAAUACAUGGUCUUGAUAACCCGACACAGGUAGUAGAGGUAAAUUCUCUUCGUAGAUUCAAUGAGAGUGAUAUUCCAUAUGAUAAACCUGCUAGCUUAUGCUUAGAUGAAUUUGAUAACUUUGUUGUCAAACAACAAAGUUUUAAUGAUUAUGUUAGCAGACAAUUGAAACAAAAUGCUCGUAUGAUUAAUCAUAUAAGUGCUUGUGUGGAUAGAAAUGUCAAUGAUCUUAAGCUUUUGGGAAAACAUGCUUCUAUGGUCACUACUCAAGUAGAACAAGUACUUAAGGCUCAAAAUGACUUGCUUAAUGAGUUGAAUGACAAUUCUGUUAGAGUUGUCACUAGAGGUUGUAGAAUGACUCAGGAACCUUUGUAGCCUGAGGGCCAUCCUAAGAGAAUUGAACAAGAUUCUCAAGGAGUUAACACUCAUGCACCUAGUCAUCCUGGUAACAGGAAGAAAAUAAAGAUGAUAGGAACUUGCAUGCUAGCAAACCUGUUGCCGUUACACCCGAGAAUCCAAAUGAUGUCUCUAUUUGUGAUGCCGAAACACAAUCUGGUGAUGAACAUGAGCCUAGUGAUAAUAUUGAUAAUGGUGUUCAUGUUGAUACUCAACCUAGUAAUGAUAAGGAUGUGGAGAUUGAACCUGUUGUUGAUCUUGAUAACCCACAACCUAAGAACAAGCUAUAUGAUAAGAACGACUUUAUUGCUAGGAAGCAUGGUAAAGAAAGAGAACCAUGGGUUCAGAAACCCAUGCCCUUUCCUCCCAAACCAUCCAAGAAAAAGGAUGAUGAGGAUUUUGAGUGCUUUUUUGAAAUGAUUAGACCUGUCUUUUUGCAAAUGUGUUUGGCUGAUAUGCUUAAAAUGUCUCCUUAUGCUAAGUACAUGAAAGAUAUCGUGACUAAUAAAAGGAAGAUACCUGAGGUUGAGAUUUCCACCAUGCUUGCUAAUUACACCUUCAAGGGUGGGACUCCUAAGAAACUAGGUGAUCCCGGAGUGCCCACUAUACCUUGCUCCAAUAAAGGAAAUUAUGUUAGAACUGCUUUAUGCGACCUUGGAGCCGGUGUUAGUGUUAUGCCUCUCUCUUUAUAUCGCAGACUUGAAUUGGAUAAGUUGACACCUACUGAAAUGUCUUUGCAAAUGGACGACAAAUCAACUGGUUUUCCUAUCGGCAUUUGCGAGGAUGUGCUUGUUGUGGUUGCGAACGUUACUAUCUUAACGGACUGUGUUAUUCUGGAUAUUCCCGAGGAUGAUGCCAUGUCGGUCAUCCUUGGAAGAUCCUUUCUAAACACUGCAGGGGCUGUUAUUAAUUGCAACAAAGGCAAUGUCACUUUCCAUGUUAAUGGUAAUGAGCACAUGGUGCACUUUCCGAAGAAACAAUAUCGAGUUCAUUUCAUCAAUGCUAUUGAAAAAUCUUCAUCCAUUAUUAUUGGAGGCUUUGAUUGCCCUAUACCUACUAUCAAGAUGAAAUAUGAUUUACUUGUUGGGGAUAUGCACAUCCCCGUUGAGGUAACCUAGUGAUUAUUCGAAAAUUCUCCGUUUUUAUGUGUUUCGAAAAAAGUUUGUCAAGGAGACUUGAUCAACCUCAUUGACGGAUUUCUGUUGAUGACCAUGAGAUGGAUGAAUCUAGGAGUCACAACCUUCUGUUCCCAACUUUUACUUUCUGUUGUUUAGAAGAAAAAUAAUAAUUUUAGCUUUAUUUUCCUAUUUUCCGCGUUUUCCGUUCAAUAGAAAAGUGACCCGAAAAUAAAAGUUCUCCAAAUGCCCUGAAAUUCAAGUAUGAUUUUUUCUGGAAUAUUUGAAAAUUUCUGAGAUAGAUAACUAGUCACGGGGAUGCACCAGUGGGCCACAAGCCCAGGAGGCGCGCCCACCCCCCUGGGCGCGCCUGGCAGGCUUGUGGGUCCCACAUGACCCCCCUCCACUUAUUCCAGCUCCCAUCUCCUUCGUCUACCUCCAGAAAAAUUAUUCCACUGCUCAAACCCGUGUUCUUGCUCUUUGUGCUGCAUUUUUCAAUCUCCUUGUGCAAAGCUCCAUACACCAAACUGUUUUGGGGAAUUUUUCCUUGGUAUGUGACUCCUCCAUCGAUCCAAUUAGUUUUUGUUCUAGUGCUUUAUUCGUUGCAUAUUUUUGCUGCCUUGGUGACCCCGUUCUUGAGCUUUGCAUGUUAAUUUUAGUUGGUCCCAAGUAGUUUUGAUGCAUGAUAUGGCCUCUAGGAACUUGUAGGAGUAGUUGCUAUGAGUUUUGUUGAGCCUUGUUCACUUUUCUUUUGAGUCACUAAAAAUUUCAAAAAAAGAAGAUGUUCACGAAAAACUAUCAUGGUGGUUCCUCAAGCAAAAGGGGUCCCCGUCUCACGAUUCGGGAGCCCGAUCCUUAUCAGCCGAGGAACGCACAGGUGCAACCAUGUGAAUGGCCUUCCGAUGACUUUAUGAUUGAUGCAGGUUUCAAGGACGAGUUUGAUACUUUUGUUCACAACGCCGGGCUCAAAGAAUUCAUCUCCAAUAAAUGUGAACAGUAUACUACACUCACCGCCUCUUUUGUUCGUAGAUUCAAAUUUUCAGUUGGCCGUGACACAUCCAUACUGUUUGAUCUUUAUGAAAAAUCGUAUACCAUGGAUUUAGAGGAUUUUAAUAGAAUUUGCAAGAUACUUGAUUGGGGUAGUCCCAAUGACCCUCCUAAAUAUUUGGUUAGAGAUUUUAUUUCUAGUAUAAUUGUUGGAGAAACUAGAGAUAUUACGCAGGCUACCAUGGGGAGCAUUCAUUUUCCUGCCUUACAUUAUUUUGCCCUCUUCAUAGGUAUAUGCAUUAACGGCAAGCAUGAGCAUAGUCACCUCUGCGCACCUAACCUUAGUAUUCUUAAGAGCGCAGUAACGAGUGAUAGAAGUUUCAACAUGGGAGCUAUAAUUGCGAGGAGGCUAAAUAGUAAUGCUAAUGAAGGGGAUUUCUUUGGUGGGAUCUAUGCCACUCGCAUAGGAAAUUUUCUUCGAAUACCCAUCCGCACAGGAGAUCCCCCGGUCCAUACAGCUUUCCUUGAUCACGCCGCUAUGAGACAUUAUCAGUUCCUUGAGAGGGAUAAUGAAUCCCUCCUAUACCGGUUAAUAUUUAACUGACAACGCGUUUUCCAUAUUACCCUUCCUGCUCCUGCCUUCUUUGACUUUCAGGGAAAACAGAGAUAUUACAUAACCAGAGGAGAGGCAGAGGAGUAUGAGAGGGAGGUGAAGGUUGCUCGCCUCCGUGAGGCAGCUAUUCAGGCGGUAGCUGCCACGUUCCCGUACAACCCCCAUUAUGAUUUUGGAUAUCGCCCGGACCAGCCGUGGGAGUAGACCAACUUAGGCCAAAAUCCUAAGCUUGGGGAGUACGUGUCUCUCACCGACUUUAUAUUCAUGCUCACACAUUCACUUUGAUAGUCGGUGUUCACACUUUGCCAUUGUAUCAUCCAUGCUAGUUUAUUUCUUUUUCUCGCUUUCUUCUUGUGUGUAAGAAAAAUUAGUUGUAAGUUUACUUUCCAGCUUGCUUAGUGGUAAUUAAAAAGAAAACCCAAAAAGAUUUCCCGUUCUUCUUUUUCUUGUUGGGAGCUUUUCCGUGUAAAUAGUUUUCUUUUUCUUUGGGUCAAGGUAGAAUAUCAUGAUUAAAAUGUUUAGUGGCUCUCAUAUGCAUAAUUGUUUAUCCGUCAGAGAGCCCGUAUUACUUUGUCUUCUCCUCUAAGUUUGCUUGCAGAUUCCAGCUUAGUCCAAUGCAGGAACACUCUCAUUAUUAUUCACUUCAUUCGGUCGUGCAAGUGAAAGGCAAUAAUGACGAUAUAUGAUGAAGUGACUGAGCCUGGAAAAGCUGGUAUGAACUCGACCUAUUUUGUUUUUGUAAAUAUGACUAGCUCAUCGUUCCUAAUUCAGCAUUGUUAUGAGAGAAACAUGUUUGCAAUGACAACUUAGAGAUCAUAGCUUCUGAUGCCAUGCUUAAUUAUCUAGGAGCUUAUAAUGGUUUGUCUUGGAUGCCAACAUGAAUUUCAAAAUGAUUAUGAUGCAGUAUGAUAAAAUGGUAUCCUCCUUUGAAUGAUUCAAGUGGCUUGACUUGGCAAAUGUUCACGCAUGUAGUUGAAACAAAAUCAACAUAGCCUCUAUGAUAUUCAUGUUUAUGGUGAUUUAUAUCCUACUCAUGCUUGCACUCAACAUUGGUUAAUUUCAAUGCAUAUUAAUGACUGUUGUCCCUCUCUAGUUGGUCGCUUCCCAGUCUUUUGCUAGCCUUCACUUGUACUAAGUACGAAUACUGCUUGUGCAUCCACUUCCAUAAACCCAAAGUUGUUCCAUAUGCGUCCACCAUACCUACCUAUAUGCGGUAUCUACCUGCCGUUCCAAGUAAAUUUGCAUGUGCCAGUCUCUAAACCUUCAAAUAAUAAUCUGUUUUGUAUGCCCGAACCGCUCAUGUGGUGACAAGGGGCGGUCAGUAUCUUCCAUGCUAGGCGUGUUAUCCUUGAUACGUGUUUAUUCACUAUCACUCACGAGAAAGGGGACGGUAAUCGGAAUGCCCAGUUCCAUGCUCAAGUCGAAAAUAUAAUUGCAAACAAAACUCCCCUGGAUUGUUGUUGGUAUGGACGGCAACCGAGGAUUCGGCUAGUCGUGGAGUGUGAUUGAUCGGUGGUGGGGGAGUCAAAACUUUACUUUUCUGUUUGGGAACCGCCUAUAAUAUGUGUAGCAUGGAAGAUGGUGAAAACUCUUGGUCAUCGCGUUGACAACGAAAGCAUGCCACCCAAAAUUAUUUAUCUCUGUUUUAAAAAGCUUGAGCUCUCGCAGCUCUGCAAAUCAAUGCUUCCCUCUGCGAAGGGCCUAUCUAUUUACGUUUCUGUUGAGUCAUCCUCUUCUUAUUAAAAAGCACCAUUAGAGAGCACCUCCGUCAUUUUUAUGCUUUGCUAUUAAUUGAUAUUGAGUAUGACUGCGACUGGAUCUUCUUUGCAAUGAAUUACAAUGUUCAGUCAGCCCUUGGUCUUUGAAGGUGCUCUGCAUUUAUGUUUUGCAGUCUCAGAAAGGGCUAGCGAGACACCAUCUGUUCAUAUUGUAUUAUGAUUGUUUUGAAUGAAGUGUUGAUGUUUGAAACUUAUUAUUAUUGCUCGCUAGUUGAUUAUGCCAUUGAUAUGAGUACAUCAUGAGACCUAAAUGUUAUUGCUUAUGUGGUUAGCUUAUGAUGUUGCUGAAAAUCCGAAUAUGAGUUAGACAUAAUUACUACAACAAGGUCAAACAGAGUUCGUAAAAGUUGUUCUUUUGUCUCUUUCAGUUUGUCAACUGAAUUGCUUGAGGACAAACAAGGCUUUAAGCUUGGGGGAGUUGAUACGUCUCCAUCGUAUCUACUUUUCCAAACUCUUUUGCCCUUGUUUUGGACUCUAAUUUGCAUGAUUUGAAUGAAACUAACCCGGACUAACGCUGUUUUCAGCAGAACUGCCUAGGUGUUGUUUUUGUGCAGAAAUAAAAGUUCUCGGAAUGACCUGGAAACUUACAAGGAUUUUUUGUGGAAUAUAUAAAAAAUACUGACGCAAGAAUUACCUGAAGACACGGAGCCAGGGGCCCACAAGCCCAGGAGGCGUGCCCCCCCCCUAGGGCGCGCCUGACAGGCUUGUGGGGCCCACAUAUCUCCGCAGCCUCCAACUCCAAGUCUAUAAAGUCUCUCUUGCCCAGGAAAAAUUAAGAGAGAAGAGUUCAUCGUGUUUCACAACACGGAGCCGCCGCCACCACCUGUUCUUUCUCGGGAGGGAAGAUCUGGAGUCCGUUCUGGGCUCCAAAGAGGGGAAAUCGACGUCGUCGUCAUCACCAAUUCCAUGAUGCUCUUCACCGUUCGUGAGUAAUCUCAUCGUAGGCUUGCUGGACGGUGAUGGGUUGGAUGAGAUCUAUCAUGUAAUCGAGUUAGUUUUGAUGGGGUUUGAUCCCUAGUAUCCACUAUGUUCUAAGAUUGAUGUUGCUACUACUUUGCUAUGCUUAAUGCUUGUCACUAGGGCCCGAGUGCCAUGAUUUCAGAUCUAAACCUAUUAUGUUUUCAUCAAUAUAUGUGUGUUCUUGAUCCUAUCUUGCAAGUUGUAGUCACCUACUAUGUGUUAUGACCCGGCAACCCCGGAGUGACAAUAGCCGGAACCACUCCCGGAGAUGACCAUAGUAUGAGGAGUUCAUGUAUUCACUAUGUGCUAAUGCUUUGUUCCGGUUCUCUAUUAAAAGGAGACCUUAAUAUCCCUUAGUUUCCAUUAGGACCCCGCUGCCACGGGAGGGAUGGACAAAAGAUGUCAUGCAAGUUCUUUUCCAUAAGCACGUAUGACUAAAUACGGAAUACAUGCCUACAUUACAUUGACGAACUGGAGCUAGUUACAUAUCACCCUAUGUUAUAACUGUUACAUGAUGAAUGUCAUCCGAAGUAAUUAUCCAUCACCGAUCCAAUGCCUACGAGCUUUUCCUAUACCGGUCCUUGCUAAGUUACUUUACCGCUACUGCUGUCACUACUGCUACUGUUACUGCUGCUACAGUUACUAUCACACUACUUUGCUACAUAUACUAAGUCUUUCAGGUGUGGUUGAAUUGACAACUCAACUGCUAAUACUCGAGAAUAUUCUUUGGCUCUCCUUGUGUCGAAUCAAUAAAUUUGGGUUGAAUACUGUAUCCUCGAAAACUGUUUCGAUCCCCUAUACUUGUGGGUUAUCAAGAAUACCCGCCCUGAGUCAUGCUCUUGUGGUUAGGAUUCUACUCCUCUAAGUGAUGCUUUUGCAUGCCUUUCCUUCCUCACGCACCUACAAACUAUUCGCUAUUUCCUUCCGCGAUAAUGUGAGCAGUUUUGAAAUUUCUGUAAAGUGGACCCAAUGUGUGAGAUGAUGACAACUGGGACCCAUCUGAUUGGUGGGACAACUCCAAAAUAUAAUGGCCCAAACAAUGUUAAAAGGCCAUGACCUAGAAAUAAAUAAAGGCUGAAUUGUAGGGUUUGGCCUAUGUAGCUAACCCAAAUUGGCAAGAAAAAAAUAUGAAUGGGUUGAAUUGUUAGGCUCGGCUCAUGUAAAGUAGUGAAAUGGACCGAGCUGAUUCUUAUCAACGACCAAUUCUAUUGGUUGCAAUUUUGCCGCGAUUUUGCUACAUCAGCUUGCCACGUUGGAUCCGAUGUGGCCUGGGCAGACAACUAGUGGCCAAAACAAAAGGUCAUAGGACCAACGACCUUUUGUUUUGGUCGUUGCUUUCUACGACCAUAUCACAAAGAAGGUCGUUAAGUUUCAUUAAAGAUGGUUAGUUUUUGACCAACUGUUUUUUAGCAUAAAAAGAUCGCAAAUGAAAAACAAUGUUCAUUCAGCGACCAAUAGUGAUGGUCGCAAGUUGACAUAUUUCUUGUAGUGUGUAGCAGAGAUAUCAGACACACAACCUCUGCAACAUCGAAAUGUCCUAAAGACAUUAAGAAUGCACACAACCCAAAAAGAAAAGGAAAACAAGAUUUUUUUUUGCUACAAGAUGAAUUCCUUGUAACUAGCGAUAUGAUCCACAAGCUAAGACAAGUCGUAGCUGUGAGGAAACAAAGUGGAACAAUAUGUGAAGGUCGCAUGGACUUUUCCGCAAAAAAAAAAAGUCGCAUGGACUAAUCAAGGACAGAACAAUUAAUGGGUGGCCACGCUGCUUGUUAAGUGUAAACUAAUGUCUAUGUUUGUAUACGCCUAGCACCAAAUUAACAACCCCGCACUAGACAGUGACAUGUUAUCUCCAUUAUAUUUGUAUACAUUGCUUGAUUGGUUCCAUACAUGCAUCUUGAGAAAAGAAGAAUGCUUUUGUUAAUAAUAUGGUCGGAGAUAAUGAAUAAUCAAGCUGUGAUAUCCAAUGCAAGUUGGAUAUACUUAAGGGACGGGUCUAGAAUUGUUAGAGUUUAAUUAGUUAAUGUAAUUAGUUAACUUAAUCUUUACUUGUAACUGCACGUGGGCAUCUCCACGACCGAACCAACACUUCGUUCGUGGAGCGACGCCUCCACGAACCGCCUCCUCGUACCGUCGCUUUUUUUGGAAGCGACUGUUCCCCAUGUAUAUAUAUGUUCAUUCAUCAAUGAGAAACAGAGUUUGAUUACAUUUCUUCACACGUUAUCAGCACGUAGCCUACCGACAGAGCACCGGAGACGAAGAGAAAAGGUGAGAUGGCAGGGAUGAACCUGCACAGAAUCACCUCCGCCCUCGUUCGUUUCUUUAGAAGAGAAAUCCAUCGAUCUGCAAGAAGCCAGGGUCUUGGAGUUCAUCGCCAUUGGGGCUCUGGCAACGGCCGCCGUGGCUGCUGUGGUCGUCGUGGGCGUCGUGGUCACCACGACCACCAUGGAUCUGCAGCAGCAGGACCAAGCCACCCACCCAUGGCCGUCCACCAUGCCUACCAGGCACCUCCAAUGUCGGACUUCGUCGCCCCGCCGGCCUUUGUCGCUCCAGUCAUGGAUUGGCAACUGGAAUACACAGGGGGGAUCUUCUGUCCUGUGCAUAGAUACGGGCCAUGCCCUUCAAACCCGGCCAAUCCACCACUGGAAUCAGAGAUCGACGGAGGGGACACUUACCCGGAUCUCCCAACACCGACGCCUGCCGACGAAGAUCCCCUUGCCGCCUCCAGGCUAUGGCCCUGUUCCGGCCAUGGCCAAGUGGGAGGUGAUCCUGACGGAGAUGGCCGAAGCCAGCGCCCCAUCGGAGGCGGCCGAAGCCUGCGGUCCAUCGGAGGCGACCGAAGCCAGCGCUCCAUCGGAGGCGGUCGAAGCCAACGCACCGACGGAGGCGACCGGAUCCGGCGCCACCAUCCCCGCAUCUCCGCCGCCUUCGCCCCAAGCCCGCCCUCGGACGCCACCAGCGGCGGCUCGCCGGAUCCUUUGCCGAUUUGCUGCAGCACUAGAGCAGCACCGCCCCGGCCUCCGCUCCGCUCCUGGGCUCACGCCGGCAUCCACCUCCCUGGCUACGACGCGGCAGCCGUAGCCCCGUCCUCUCCCUGAGCGCUGCCGACGAGGGGCGCCAUCGGCGGCGGAUGUUGCGGGACGUCGUGGAGGUGGCUGUGGAACGGGGGAAUUCAAGGCGAUAUUUGUGGUCCUAUCCAACCAUUAUCUGGACCUUUUAGGUAUUUCAUGGUUCUAAUUGACGCAUCUACACGAUGGUCUCACGUGUGUCUAUUAUCCACACGAAACCAUGCAUUUUCCAAAAUAAUGAGACAAGUAAUUAAAUUACAAGCUCAUUAUCCUGAAAAUCGGAUUAAGUCAAUUCGAAUGGACAACGCUGCUAAAUUUUCCUCACGUGCCUUCAAUGAUUAUUGCAUGGCCCUAGGAAUCGAAGUUCAGCACUCGGUCCCAUAUGUCCAGACACAAAAUGGAUUGGAAGAGUCCCUAAUUAAGAGAAUUAAGCUCAUUGCACGGCCCUUGCUAAUGAAUUGCAACUUACCAACUUCAUGUUGGGGUCACGCAGUUUUACACGCUGCUGACUUAAUUCAAUUGCGACCAACUGCAUAUCACAACACUUCCCCUCUGCAAUUAGUACGUGGAAACCUACCAAAUAUUUUCCAUCUGCGUAAAUUCGGAUGCGCCACAUAUGUGCCCAUCUCACCACCGCAGCGUACAUCCAUGGGCCCACAUUGGAAAUUGGGGAUCUAUGUGGGGUGCAAAUCACCGUCGAUAAUCAAGUACCUUGAACCCCUCACUGGGGAUCUAUUCCCAGCCCGUCACGCUGACUGCAUCUUUAAUGAGGAAUAUUUCCCGGCAUUAGGGGGAGACAUCAAGUACCAAAAGAAUGCCCGGAAAUCUAUUGGAAUGCCCAAGACAUUUCCUCCUCUGAUCCACGUACUCAAGAAACUGAACUUCAAGUUCGGAAAAUAAUUAAUUUGCAACAUAUUGCAAAUAACCUGCCAGAUUCAUUUACUGACUAUAAAGGUGUUACAAAAUCCUACAAUCCUGCCAGAAAUGCGCCCGAAAGAGUGGAGGUACCAACAAAAACCACUCAACCCCCUGUUCAAAGGAAGAGGGGGAGAAAUAGGGGGAGAAAUACGGCCACAGAACAGGAUUCAACUUCUCGCAAACAAAAAAGGAAACAGAGGAAGAAACCCCGUGAACCAGUAAAUGUAAAUCAACCUAGCGUUGAUAAUCAUCAAAUGGGUAAUGAACACCCAGUGGAAGAACGGCCUCCACAACCCAGCUCAGUUGUGCACUCAAUGACUAGGACAUCGGAAAACCCUGACUCAAUCGUAUUGGGAAAUCACGACCAGUCAACAUGGGUAAAUGAAAUUUCCACCAACUAUAUGGAUUCUGGAGAAUGUUACAAUCGUAAGUCUACUAUUGUCGACAUAUAUUUCUCAACUACAGUUGCAGACUACCUUCUAAAUGAUCAUGAUCCAAAGACCAUGGCAGAGUGCAAGAAACGCUCCGACUGGCCUAAAUGGAAGGAUGCAAUCCAGGUAGAGUUAGCCUCGCUCAAUAAACGAAAGGUAUUCACUGAAGCAAUACCUACACCUCCCAGAGUUUUCCCUGUGGGAUUCAAAUGGGUUUUCGUCCGUAAAAGAAACGAGAACAACGAGAUGGUGAGAUAUAAAGCAAGGCUUGUAGCCCAAGGUUUCACGCAGAGACCAGGCAUUGAUUGCAAUGAAACAUACUCUCCAGUAAUGAGUGGUAUUACUUUCCGAUACCUUAUUUCUAUGGCAGUACAAAAUCGUCUACCUAUGCAGUUGAUGGACGUAGUGACCGCCUAUCUUUACGGUUCACUUGAUUCGUACAUAUGCAUGAAGGUUCCUGAUGGAGUUCCAAUCCCGAAUCCAAACGCAACGCAUAUUGUGUAAAACUAAACAAGUCUUUAUACGGCUUAAAACAGUGGGGUCGCAUGUGGUACAACCGACUUAGUGAGUUCUUUUUGAAAAAAGAUACUCCAAUAAUGAUGAUUGCCCAUGUGUUUUCAUAAAAAAGUCCGCAACCGGAUUUUGCAUUAUUUCAGUGUAUGUUGAUCAUCUUAACAUCAUUGGAACCACCGAAGAUAUUGAUGAAGCACGCAAUAUCUUAAAGACGGAAUUUGAAAUGAAGGAUUUGGGUAAAACUAAAUUUUGCUUAGGAUUACAACUUGAGCACCUUCCCUCGUGUAUUUUGGUUCAUCAAACCGCCUAUAUCCAGAAAAUAUUGGAGAAAUUCAAUAUGGACAAAUACUAUCCAUCCAAAAUCCCUAUGGUAGUUCGAUCUCUAGACAUAGAGAAAGAUCAGUUUAGACCAAUGGAUGAUGGAGAAAAGAUAUUAGGACCUGAAGUCCCAUAUCUUAGUGUGGUUGGAGCGCUCAUGUAUCUUACAAACUGCACCAGACCUGACAUUGCAUUUGCAGUAAAUUUAUUAGCUAGACAUAGCGCAGCUCCCACUAAACGCCAUUGGAUCGGAGUUAAGAAUAUCUUUCGAUAUCUCCAAGGUACAAAGGAUCUUGGCCUCUUCUUUCAAUUUCAAAGAAAUUUGGACAUUGAUUUGAUUGGGUAUACAGAUGCUGGCUACUUAUCUGACCCCCAUAAUGCCAGAUCACAAACCGGUUUCGUGUUCCUACAUUGUGGGACAGUCAUAUCAUGGAAAUCUUCCAAGCACACCCUAGUGGCUACAUCCACCAAUCGUUCUGAAAUAAUCGCAUUAUAUGAAGCAUCACGUGAAUGUGUAUGGCUUCGCAGAAUGAUAAACCACAUACAAAAAUCAUGUGGCAAAGGUCUUAUCAAAUCUCCAACCAUUAUCUAGGAAGAUAAUGCUCCUUGUGUUGCUCAAAUGCAAACGGGUUAGAUAAAGAGCAAUAUCACUAAGCAUAUUUCUCCUAAAUUAUUUUUUCCCCAUCAAUUACAGAAGAAAGGGAAAAUAAAUAUUUUGCAAGUUAAAUCGUGCGAUAAUCUCACUGACCUAUUUACAAAAUCACUCCCAGCUUCAACAUUUGAAAAAUAUGUUCAUGGGAUAGGUAUGCGAAGACUUCGGGAUUUGCAAAGAUCAGGGGGAGUUUCUCUCUCUGAAAAAUAACCCGUUCAAACAUUAUAUUGCACUCUUUUCCCUUUAUGAGUGUACUUCCAUAGUUCUCAUCAAGGUUUUUAAUGAGACAAUAUCAACAUAAGACAUAUGUCAUACUGUCCGUUUUUCCCCACCGGGUUUUUUAGGAAAAGUAUAUACGACGUAUUUUUGUCCUCUAAUUUUAUGGAUACAUUUCAUAUAGAAUUGACAGAGGCAAUAAUCAUUAUAUGUUGUAUCAUUUUCUCCUUAUUUUUCCACAAGGUUUGAAGGAGUUUUAGCAGCAUAUACUAUACUACUUCUCAUAUUUUUCUCACGGGGUUUUUGGAGGAGACUAUUUUAAGAUGAUGAACAUACAUUUUAAGAUGAUGAACAUACGAUGAAUACUUGCUGUUUUCCCUGCAAUGAAACUGUAUGUACGACCGUGGAAUUCUAGUCCAGUCAUUUCAAUGUCAUUUACGGUGAAACUGAGGAGCAUAACGUACGGGGACACAUGCUAGCUGCAAACACGCGCACUCCGGCCGCCGCCAGUCAUUUGCAACACUGUGCGUUGUGUCAAGCUACGGAUUUCCGGUGGUGGCUGUCGACCGAGAUCGAACGUUUCUUCCGGCGACCUCUAUCUUUUGCUGUGGUAAUUUCUUUUGUCGUCGCUAGAGGACGUGGAUGAUAUUGUUGCAACGCACGGCAAUUCUUUGGUUUUGUUUAUUUAUUUAUAAAUAAUCUAACUGCUGCGGUCACGAUGGAUUUUCUAGGUAGCAUACCUCUUGUAUCUACUCCACGUCUUCACUUCAACUUUAUGCGUGGCUAGCUAGGGCAGUUGCCGACAGUUUGGACAAAAGAUCAGAUCAGUGGCCGAAUCGGGUAAGGUUGUCGGUUCAAGGUUUCAUCGGUCGGUUCACAGUCUGUUUUUUUUUUUWAUAAAAUAUCUUUUGUAUACUGAUGUAAUAUAUUUACCUUUUUCUUAACACAACACAGUCACAUACACUCAUAGAUACGCAAAUAUACUUACCCCUAUGACUGGGAGCUAUGACAUGUUUUCCUUGGGGUUUGUGAUCUCGAACGGACCACUAUUUGUACACGUCGACUUGGUUCGACAUCUCCGGUUUUACCUCCCAAUUCUUUAUCUUUAUCUUUAUCUUUACCUACUAAUAAAGCAAUUAGUGCUUCUGUUGUCCGUCUUUAACAUUGCCCAUAAAGUUGAUGAAAAUUAUCCACAAUUGCCACUUAUAAGUCAUUGAAAACAUUUCAAACAAGAAAAUCUUUGGACUGGGCCGGCCCAUGUAGGCACCUCCUAUAUUACGCUCUGGGCAUUGCAAAAAGAUGCAGCACACCUAUUUGGGCCGGUCCAUGCGUGGCCGCCUGUUAUUUUAGUUUUUUUUACUUUUCAGUUCUAUUUUUUUCUACUUUAAAUAAUUUAGAAGUUCAAAUAACUUUUUCUUAAAUUUAAGAAACUGAGAAUUUUGAAAUAAAAUAUUAAAAAACAUAUUUUUUUGAGAAUUCAAAAACUACUCAGGAGUUUUGAAAAAUGUUUGCAUAUACAAAGAAAUGUUUAAAUUUUUAAAAAAUGUCUGUAAAAUGAAAAAAGUCAAUAAUUUCAAACAAAAGUCCGUGUAAAAAUCUUAAAAACAGUUUGUGCCUCUGUUUUUAGUCUCAUUUUUAAUUUUCAUUUUCUGUUCCAUUUUUUAAAUUUAAAUAAUAUCGACUUUUGAAAUUUUUUUGCAACUUAUAAAACUUAGAAUUUUGAAAUAUAAUUUUGAAGAAAAUAUAAAAUGUUUGUGAAUUCAAAAAAUGCUCGGGAUAUUUGUAAAAGUAUUCCCAUAUUCAGAAAAAUGUUCAUAAUUUUGAGAACAAUGUUGGUGAAAACAAUAAAAGUCCAUGAUUUUGAGAAAAACGUUUGUGUAUUAUUUUUUGAGUGCAAUUGAAAAAAAUAUUUGCUAAUUCAAAAAAUGUUCAUGCAUUUCAAGAAAUGUCCUAAAAUUUUAAGGACGUAAUAUGAUCAACAUCCUUGAAGAUUAUAAUUAUUUUUCUUCCGUUGCAUCGCACGGGACCUUUUGCUAGUUGCAUAAAAAGUUCAAAACCUUUCGAUUCAACCGGUCCACUUUGGUUUAACAGGUGGAACGUCCAGAGAGUUUAAGAAACCGGCAUUGUCCCUGGUUCCAGCUUUCAGUUUCACCAGCGGUCCCGUCCCGUGCUGAUAAAUAUGCUGGCCGAUUAAUUUCGAUAUAUGCCUCUUUUAUUCUUUUAUCUAUCAGCAUAUCAACAUUUGUGUGCAUGUUGAGUCGUUGACUUGCCACCUCGAUCCAUCUUAUAUUCAUUUAUUUGUUCGAGUUGUGCAUUCUAUCUUUGCAGGUGCAAGAGAUAAUAAUUCAGUAUAACCUAGACACUUUCCUCCAUCUAUGGAUUCUCUACUUGAACAUUACCAUCAUAUACCAUCCAGAUGAUACUAGCUGGAUUACUGGGUUGGAUUACAUCUUCGAGUUGGCACCUCUCUUAGAAGAUUUGGAACUACAUGUAAGUUCUUCACUCGCCGAUCAUGGUACUUGCAUCUGUUUGUAUACAAAUAUGUAUUUGGUAUUAAUGAAUGGUUGGAUAUACUUGUGCAAAUAAAUUGUGGUAGAUUUGGCCUUCCUACAAGGAGUGACAACUCUUCCAAGGCCUCGGCGUCAUCAUCUCAGUAGCGCCCGCAUUAUUGAUUUUGUGAUCUGGUGGGGAUAGUCGAGCUUGAUGUCCUCCAGAUCCAGGCACGACGCGCCACAUAGAAGCCUCGUGAUAUCCCCCGGUGGGCGUCACCGACAGAGACAAUUGUGCAAUGAAGACCCCGGCAGCCUUUGUUGUCGCCCUAUAACUGUAGCUGGGUUUUUGCAACUAGGGCGGUCGCGUGGCUCUGCUCAAGCUGCCCACUAGUCCCCUGUUUCGACAUGAUCCAGAAGACAAGUCGCGGAGACUAAACAAGGUUGAACAACAUGUGCCUCUUGCAGUUUAACUAAUGAUGCUUCUUAAAUAAUGCCUUGUCACUUGCUAGAUUUUUCCUCCAAGUUUCUAUAUGCACCGUACCUUGCAUGUCUCUCAGAGAGGAUGGUGUACUGUUGAUGUAUGUACCACUUCUUUUUGCAGGGAAUGUAUAUAUCAUGUACGUACCACUUGCAUGAGCCGCUGAAUGUUCCUAGGUAGUCUUAACGUAUGUUCGUACGCUAACCAUUAGGCUACACUGGAGCGAGUAGUAGUCAACAAGUCAUGGAUGAUGGGAUGCGUGCGUUCAUGCUCUAAAAAGUCAAAGGCUAGCUCUUUUUCUUAAAUUUGUUGCAAUGGUUUUUAGUUGUUGUGGCUAGAAGACGUGGAUGCUAUUGUUGCAAGGCACGACAAUUCCUUGUUUUUAUUUAUUUACAUUUAAAAAUAUGUUGCAGUCGCGACAUAUUUUCUAGGCAGGACGGCAUCUCAUCCCCUUCAUCUUAUCAGUUAACUCGCUAUGCUGUUUAGAUUUCUACACCAUCUCAACUUUGCACAUUUGGUUCGACCUCUUUGGCCGCUAUUGGCCCCUUACGUCAAAUGGUUUCGGCUUUUCUGAUGAAAUGUUUUAAUCACCGAAUAAAGCAACAGAACACGUACUUAAUUUGUACUAAAACCCGAUGAGAUGCAGCCGCGCAGGUAAGGAAGCCCAUCUAUGGGCCCAUCCAGUUUGCCGUACAUAACAACACAAGCCCGUGAAUAUUUGAUUGUCGCAUAGAGAAAAUGUAUUUAAGAAUUCACUAACUGCAACCUUGAAACAUUAAAUAGAAGAAUGACAGAGUGUAGACGUGCACUACCUUUUGGUCAGGGGCAGAGCUAGGAUUUGAACAUAGGUGGGGCGAAGAGGACAAUGCACGUGCAGGAAAUUCAGGACCAAAUAUAUUGAUUCUGAAAUAUAGUGUUAAUAUCAAACAAACAAUGUUAUUUUUUCCUGCAAUAACAUUGAAAUAGCUAGGUUUUUUAUUAGCUUAGAUAUAUAUCUACACACAUCAGGCCCAUCAAACGUCAAGGUUUGUAGAGAUUUCACUCCCAAAAUAUAUACUCCCUCUGUACCUAAAUAAUUGUAGUAGGGAAGAACUAGUCAAGUUUUCCCCAAUUACAAUUAUUUAGAUACAGAGGGAGUACAUGUCACUCUGCAAUGUGCAAUCUCAUCAGUAGACUGGGUGGUUAAAAUAAAUGGUUUCAAUUGUUAGUUAUUGGUGGUCUCUUCUUCCUCAUGCUUUAUGCAAUUCUAGACUUCUAGUUAGUACACAAAUAUCAUUUUUAAUUGAAUCUAACUGGUACAACCUCUGUCCCAAAUUACGUGUCUUAAAUUUAUCAAGAUAUGAAUGUGUUGUAUGUAAACAAACCUAAGACAAGUAACCUUUGGAUCCGCACUGCUUCUGGUACUACCUCAUGUUGGUUUAACAGUGUGCCUCCUCACGCCAUCCAUGAUCAGCGUGUUAGUUAAGCUGUCUUUCCACUCUCUGCCAUAUCUCUUAUACCACUAUCAUGAUGGGCUUGCCUGCAUUUAUACAUAUACUUCUUUUUUUGCACCGUUACAUAUACUUUUUUCGUCACGGGUUAGAAGGCGUGCUUGGAAAUUCUCUGGAACCUAGGCGUUGUUGAUUGAAUGCGAGAUGGGUUGAAAAAUAGAAUUCACACUACGCAUGCAUACAGAACUAGUACAAUGGAGUACUAAUUGGCUGCUAAAAGUAAAUGCAAUGUGUCCACAACUUUGUUUAGUGUGAAAAUGCACGUAAAUUUAACCAUGCGUUCUAAACCGCGACUGAGGGAGUACUUGAUAUGGCAAGUUCUUUUUUAGCAUUUGUGGGCAUAUGUUGGCUUUAUUGACCAUUAAUGGGGUGAUAGUGACAAGGUAGCAUUUCUAGUAUUAUAGGUGAUCCAAAUUUAACGGUGUAUAAUGACCACACUAUUAUCCAAAUGGGAACAACCUCCCAUUAAUGGUAGGAGAAUCAGUCACCCAUUUUUGUACAACCUCCCACUAAUGUGUCUGUGAUUUGUUUGCAAACAUUUAUUUUUUACUCUCACUGCGAAAUGCCCCUAUGAGGAAGAACAACAUAAAAAUAGGUCUCGUGCCUGUGAGUUUUUGCAAAGUUUUUUACUCUCCCUGUCAAGUGGCCCUACAAGUAAGAACAAUAGUAAAAAAUGGAUCGUGUACCUGUGAUUUUUUACAAAGUUUUUUACUCUCACUGCCGAGCGGCCCUAUUAAGAAAAGCAAGACAAAAAUUAGGCAGCAGCUUCAAGGGGUUGAACCAGGUUCCAACUCACCAUCGUACCAUCGCAUACUUCCAAUUUUUCACAGGUUACAAAUGAAGUUAUUCCAUUCCUAAUAAAAUUUGAAAUAAAAAUGAGUUUUUGUUCGGUACACCGUACCCCCGCCCCCUCCCUCACAACCUACCUUGAAAAAAGCCAAGGCACGCGUUGGUUUGAAGUUUUCGUAGCAAUCUAGAGGAUCUGUGUGAUAUUUCAGCUGCAACGGACUGCAGUUCUUUGUCGAUUUUUCUGCAAAUGAUUUACCUAUUGUGGCCGCUAUAGAUUUUCUAGGUAGCAUGUCUUCUCAUCCCAUCCCGGGCCUCGCUCUCGAGGCCAUCGGGGAUCAGUUUGUGUGUUCGUCCGAUUUCUUCUAAGAUCGAUCUGCAACGUCCGUCGGUACCGCUGGAGCUGCACUUCCACUCUAGUGUGGCACGCCAAUAUUUUUUAUCAUAUCUACACGCCGUUGCUUAUACUUUAAAUGGUAUGUUUUGGGAGCAUUCGUUUGUAGCCUUAUGCAACAUAGACUAUCAUGCAAUGACAGGAUGACAGUGACUGAGGUAGAAUUUCUGGAACCGUACCCAAUGACAGAUUUUAAGAUGGAUGGUGAUCACACUGUUAUCCAGAUGGAAAAACCUCCAAUGGUAGGAAUCAUAUACUUGGGCAUGUUGUCCUGAUUUUUCUUUUUGAAAUUGAGACAAAAUAUUUGCCUCAUCUCACUAAUAAAAGAGAGGGUUGAAUUACAUAGCUGGCUGUCCAAGGACGGCUCUCCAAUUUUGUUUUUUAUUCUUACGACAUUACAGAACUAACAUCCUCAGAGCAACUCUAGCACACCCCGCAUCCAUCCCCGACCCGUAAAAUAACCGCCAAAAUGCGGGUACGGGCCGGAAAGCCUGCCCGACCAGACCACGCAUCCCGCCCCGGUCCGCAAAUUUUUUUUGGGGGCGCGGCAAAUUCCCGACCCCAACCCGGAAAAACGCGGGUUUCCGCCUCGCUGCUGCGGUGCCCUGCAUCACAGAGAAGCAGUUGGCGGGAGGGACAUUUCAGGCCGCGCUCUUUGCCCCCUCCUUCCGCCGCCGCCCGCCCUUGCUUACGCCCGCCCGCCGCCGGCGAUUCCGGCAAUAUCUGCAGGCGAGCCGCUGCACCGCCCCUCCGGAUCCGGUGAGAAGACSCCCCCCCCCCCGCCGCUGUCGCCGCCGGGGUAUCGACCACCAUCGAGCGCACCCCCUCGUCGCCGCCCGGGUCAUCCGCAACCGGUUAGUCCUUUAUUUUUAUUUUUGUGAGCUGUGCGAGAAGUUCUUACUAUCCGAUUCGUCCGAUUCGGACGACUCGGAUGUUGAGACCAUGCUUGCGAACUUUCGGCAGCAAACAUUAGUCAUGGCGCUUGCCGUGAAGGAGCAUGAAGACGAGCACCGGAAGAGGAGGCGAGGAUUGACUGUCGGGCGUUUGUGCAUUUCUCGAAAUCGCCAUCUUGGAAACGAGAUGUUGAUGCAAGACUAUUUCACGAAGAAUCCUACAUAUCCUCCGCACCUCUUUCGGAGAAGGGAUCGAAUGCGCCGAUCCCUCUUUGUGAAACUUGUUCAAGCUUGCGAGUCAAAUUGCCGGUAUCCAUUUGUAUUUGUAUUCAUGACAAGUUUUGUAUUGCACUAUUUAAGUUUGCUAUGGUUAUUUGAAUAAUUAUUUGUAAUGCGGAUGAUUAUUGUAUUAUGUUUGAUUCGAAUAAUUAAGUUUGUUUUCGAUUGUUGAAUUAUGUUGUAUUUGAUAUUUGUGGGCUGAUGAUAUGCGGGAUGCAGCGGUGCAAAGAGCAGACCCCGCAAAGCCGACCAGUAAAAAAGUAUAUUCCGCGAAUAUAUAUUUUGACGGAUCCGUUUGGAGGGUCUGCAUGUGUGCCAGCCCGGGCCAGCCCGCAAAAGCUGUUUUACACGAACUGCAAACGCGUUUUGCAAGCAAGUAGUACUUGUUGUGGAACACGUCCGGCGUUCCACCACUCCUUAAUAGUGCCAAUUUUCUGGCCCCCUCUUGCAAAGUUCACUAGUGGAAAACGGACCUUUGGCCGGGACCCUUUAGUCCCGGCCUGCCUCUAGGCCAGGAUUAAAGGCCCGGCCACGUCACCCCAGUUCUCAAUGCCUCCCUCGAGGCUUUAGUCCCGGUCCGUAAGGAGCCUUUAGUCCCGGUUCGUGUCCCAAACCGGGACUAAAGGGCUACGCGGCGGGCAGUGGUGGUGGCAACCGUUCGUAUCCCCCUUUAGUCCCGGUUGGUGGCUCAACCUGGGACUAAAGGCCUAACACGUGGCAUGUCGUAGUGGUGGCAACCGUUGGUAUACCUCUUUAGUCCCGGUUGGUGGCUCAACCCGGGACUAAAGGCCCAAACGGUUUGCAUCCCGCGUCGUUUCGGGCAAUGAAAAGCACGAACCGAAGCACAGUCGCCAUUUCUCUGUUUCUUCUUCUCUCUCGCUCUCCCUCUCUGUUCUUCUCCUCUCUUCUUCCCUUCUCUUCUUCCACCAUGCCAACUCGCUUUCAAAAGGUGCUCGCACAUCGCACGACCAUGCUCGAUGUCGUGUACACGAACGAGAGCAGGGAGGUGCCAUUUUUUCUUGAAUAGUUGAAGGAAAAAUGUCUUGACGCCGCAAUGGAUCAUGAGAAGUUUUUGGGGCUUGAUCUGGAGUACACGGCCGAUCAACACGGUGUUGCCGUCAUCCAACUAUGCUUCGCACGCCAUGUCUUGAUCUUCCAAUGGGCGAGGUAAGUUUUGAGGCUUUCUUUGAUCCAAGAUAAUGACAUUGUAAGUUUAUUUGUUUCAAUCAUAGUUGGUUCCCUUCAAAUAGUUGUAGUGAAACAAUUUUGAUUAGUUGAAGGGGAACACAAUCUAAUUGGUAAUAGURGUUCCAUAAUCUGAAAAUCGUAUUAGAAUCAACUAGUGUUUAAUAUGUUUCAUUGGAAUCAUAGUUGGUUCGCUUCAAAUAGUUGUAGUGAAACAAUUUUGAUUAGUUGAAGGGGAACACAGUCUGAUUGGAAUAGUGUUCCAUAAUCUGAAAAAUCGUAUUAGAAUCAACUAGUGUUUAAUAUGUUCCAUUGGAAUCAUAGUUGGUUCGCUUCAAAUAGUUGUAGUGAAACAAUUUUGAUUAGUUGAAGGGAACACAAUCUGAUUGGAAUAGUGUUCCACAAUCUGAAAAAUAUGAUUGGUUCAAUAUGUUCCAUUGAAAUCAUAGUUGUAGUGAUACAAUUUUAUGCGGUGUUCUUUGAUCCAAGGUUAUGAAAAUUGCAUAUAGCUAGUGAUCUCUCUAGGUUCCAUUGGAUAGCAAUAUGAUAUGUCAUAGUCAUGAAAAUUGCAUAUAGCUAGUGAUCUCUCUAGGUUCCAUUGGAUAGCUAUAGUGAUCUCUGUAGGUUCCAUUGCAUAUGUUCUAUUUGAAUCCUAAAGAUAAUUUUCUCUUCAGUUGUAGUGAAACAUGUUUCCUUAUUGCAGCAGUAUGUAACAUUUGUUCCAUUUUAAUUUGUUUCUGUUGCAGUAGUGACAAGCAUUGUCCAGAACUCAUGGACUUCCUUCGCAGCGGCAUCACUUUUGCUACCGCUGACAUAAGGAACGACAAGCUGAAGAUGAGGUACAACUUCGGUAUUGCAGAAGGAAAACGCCAGGAUAGCAAAGGAACAUCAUGAUGCGCAGAUGAAAAAGAAGGAACCCGAGCCCCGCCCGGAAUACACCGAGAAGCAAAUAGCAUGGGCAAAAGACUUCAUAACCCUUCCAUCACAAUAUGACUUACACUAUAAGCCUGAUGACUAUACACGCACAUUGCAGAAGGAAGUGAAAAAGAGCAGUUCAUGUGCAAGUGCAAGUGGGAGCAAAUCAAGUUCAACUACAAGCAAGAAAAAAUCAGACGUUCCUCAGCUUGGACAACAGGCCAAACAGUCGAUCCCACCCCUCAAGGUGUUAACCGAGAAUGUUCCCCCUCCGAUGCAGGGGCAAGCUUUUGAAAGAGCAAAGGAGUUGGCGGCUGAAUGUGGUAUCUCGGUUGAAGAUUUGCCGGCUUCCCAAGACGACAGGAUACCCAAGGCUGUGGUAGCCCCUAAGCCACAGUUUGUCAUGGGAGAGCCUUUGGUCAGCAAAGAUGAUCUCCCAACAAAUAUGCGUUACUUGCAUCAAUGGUACUUAAGUGAAUCAAAGAAUGGGAGAAUGAUGAUCGUGCUGAGUGUCCCACGGGAGUACUACGGCGGCUCCGAAGAAAUCCAUAUCGACUUUGAUGAACUCUUCCAGAUGUACAAUGGCGACGCCCUCGAUAAAUCGCUUAUGAGUUGCUAUUGUCUGUAUGUUUUUCAAUUCGUUGUCUACAUAUAACUUGUUUAGUUAUUUCAAUUCAUUGUCUAUAUAUAACUUGUACUCUAUUAUGCAGAAUGAAGAUUCUGGAUUGUAAAAGUAAGACCAUCCUAAAUAUUGGGUUUAUUGACCCAGAUAAAAUACAUAUAGCGACGCUAACUGAUAAACCCAAGGAGGCAGAGGAAAACCUUCUAAGGUUUCUAAUAAAUCAAAAUUUCUGUGACCACAUACUGUUUCCAUACAACUUCAGGUGAGGGUCUUUACUCUGUUGUGUCCAUUCACUUAUAAGUGUAAUUGAUAAGUUACUGACAUAUACACACACACACACACACACACACACACACACACACACACACACAUGUGCAGCUUUCAUUGGAUUCUGUUGGCCAUUCAAAUUGAUAAGGGAAGAGUUGAUGUCUUCGACCCAUUAUCGAGACCCUUGGAACAGUUCCAAAGCCUGCAGGACAUGCUCCAAGGGUAAUUUUAAUCAAUCUUGCGCUCUAUCGGUCUCUUUCAAUGAUUUUCUGAUAUAUCAAUUAAUGAAAAACUUAGCAAAUCAUUAUCCUUGUCAGGCAGGGUUUGGAAGCGGUUCAAGUGCGUGACUCCCGGUAACUUUCCUGAGAAGCUGACCUUUAGAGCGGCUCAGGUAAGUAGUAGUAUGAUAUACUUCUAUUAAUUUUCAAUACAUUUAUGAUGCUAGAUUAUUAUUUUGAUUAUAUAUAUUAUAUUCUCGUAAAGUGCGACCAGCAGCCACGGGGAACGCAUCUAUGCGGAUACUAUGUUUGCGAGACCAUUCGCACGUUUACCUCUGAGCUCAAGGAUCACAGAUUCGACGUAAGCAAUGAACAUUCACACCUCUAUUUUUACCCGUCAUUCUUUGUUAUCAUGAUUGAUAUUCAUAUUCAUCUCCUCUUCUUAUAUAGCACACGACCAUGAGGACGAAGGUCCUACCAGAGCAACGCGCGAUUGCUGUUGCAGAGGAGCUUGCGGGAUUUCUGAGAACGGAAGCUAUAGAUGACAAAUGACGAUUUAGUGUAACCAGGGGCCAUUACUGAUGUUCGUCCAUGUAAUCGAAUAGACGGGCUCUAGUCCCGAUAAUUCAAAUCUCCAUAUAAUUGUAUAUAUAUGCUCGCUUGUAAGAUAAGUUAAUCUUAUAUAUAUAUGCAUAAUUAUUUCUAUUUAAAUUAUAUGAAAACUAAUUCCCGAACACCAAACAAGGCAUCACGUUAAUCUCCCGAACACCUAAACCCUAAAACCCUAAAACCCAAAAAUAAUUUCAUUCAAAAAAAAACCCAAAACCAGUAAAAUCUGAAAAUCUUUAGUCCCGGUCCGUGUAACGAACCGGGACUAAAGGGCCUGCCCCUGGGACGCUACGAGGCGCCCACGUGGAGCACCUUUAGACCCGGCUUGUAACAGGGCCGGGACUAAAGAUUAGGCCUUUAGUCCCGCCCCUUUAGUCCCGGUUGGUGAACCGGGACUAAAGCCAGUUCGAACCCGGUCCUGUAUGUAAGUCAAGCAAAGAAUUUAUGCUCUGGUGGUGCCUGAUUGUUCCACACAGCCGUCAUAUUGUCUUAUCACUCACUCAUUUUAUUACAACACCAAAAUUACACAAAAACAGUAGCACCAUGACACGGCGUAGAGCACACACACGCUCACAAGCUUCAGCAUAAAUCAGCACAAAACUUACUGGGAGGUAGCAUCUCUGGACUUCUAGCCAAGACAGAUUUCACGUUGUAUGGUGAUCAGAGUGUUAUCCCAAAUGGGAACAACCUCAUAGGGUAGGAAGCAUAUAUAUAUACUCCGGGCAUGAUGUCUGAUCACUCAACUCAUUUUAUUACAACAUCACAAUUAUAAAGAACCACUAGUACCAUGACAUGAUCAUAGCGCACACACACACACGCUCACACGCUUCAGCAAUCACGGCAACUAAACAAUUUCUUACAUGGCGGAGGCAUGGCCCUCGUCGCUGGCGGUCUCGAUGCCGUCGACACGGCUGUUGGGGACGGCGCAGUUGAACCGGAUCUCGCCCUGGCUGCCGGUGAGCAAGUCCAUGUUGCUCAUCUUCACCAUGGACUUGGCAAACUGCUCGAAGAACGCUCCCUGGUUGAGGGCGAAUCGCGUCGCCAUGCGCGUGGUUUCAGGGUGGACGAUGAGGCCCUGGUCCGACUUGAACAGGCCCUGCUUGGCGAUGAGAUCAAAGUAGUACUUGUUGUCGAACACGUCCGGCGUGCGCACAUCGAGCGACUGGUUGACGCUAAGCGCGGGCACGUCGUUGGCGCACUUGGCCUUGAGCUUGGCGGCGAAAUUGGGGUCGAUUGCUGGGUUGGUGUCGACUUCCGGCGUGAAGCGGUCGGAGAAGGCGGGGCAGUGGGCGAUGCCGAACGUGUGUGCGCCGGAGAGGGACACCAGGUCGGCCUUGUCGAGGUUGCGGUCGCCGAAGGACUUGAGGAGCUCCGGCACGGUGAAUGAGGGGGCUGGAAGGGUGAAGACGAGGUCCUGCGACGCUGGGGCCAGCCCGUCGCGCCGGCCCAGAGCCACCUCAAAGCGGGGCCCGCCAGCCUGCACGCACCACAUCCACGUAAACGUAAACGUAAACGUAUAUGUUAGUCACAGUUCGAGAAACAUGUGUAGAAAAAACUGAAAAAGUAGACUAUGAUAUGCUAGGAAUAAUGGUUUGGCCGUGCAUGCAUGCUGCAUGUCCAGCACGAAAGGUAUAGGGCAAUGGUACCAUACCAGCACGACGGAGUCACGGGUAGCGAGAACGGUGAUGUCGGCGCAGGAGACAGUCCGGCCGCAGGACCUGUGGACGGCGGCGCGGAUGGUCUCGAUGAGGUUGAGCCCCACCGGCCGGAGCGUCAGAUUUGGCCCCAACGCCUGCUCGCUGUUGUUGCCGGUCAGGAGCACCGACGCGUCGCAGCCCUGCAACAAGAGCAAAUAUAAGUAAGUAAGAAGAAGCGCCAUGCAUAUAUCAUAUGUAGAUACAUAUUUCUGACGUUGAUACAUACGCACCUGAGGGAAGCAGUCGUGGAAGAAGAUGCGGAUGAGCCCCGGCGCUACGCCGACGUCUUUACGGAAGGCCUCGGCGACGUGAUACUGGACGAUGUGUUCCAGGUCCGGGCACGAGCCCGCGUGGAAGUCCGGCGAAAGCUCCCCGGCGGCCGCCGCUGCCGAAUGGACGACGGCGCAGGCCAUGGCCACGACGACCAGGGCCGCUGCUGCUCUGGA